rnacentral:lncRNA from 1 species
CAGGAUAUAAUUACGGGUGGAACCGACACCACAACUACGAUGGUGGAAUGGACAAUGGCAGAGUUGAUGCAGCAUCCACAAGUAAUGAAGAAAGUUCAGGAAGAAUUAGCUCAAGUUGUGGGCAUGGACAGUUGUGUUGAAGAAUUUCAUUUGCCUAAACUGAAAUAUUUAGAUGCUGUGGUGAAAGAAUCGUUUCGUCUGCAUCCUGCAGUGCCUUUAUUAGUACCACGCAGAGCAAGCGAGAGUGGCAGCAUUGGUGGCUAUACCAUUCCCAAAGAUACAACUCUUAUGUUGAAUGUUUGGGCUAUCCACAGGGACCCUCAACUUUGGGAUAAUCCCUUAGAAUUUCGACCCGAGAGGUUUCUGAAUGUUGGUGUCGAGAGUAAGUUCGAUUACUCAGGUAACAAUUUUCAGUACUUACCUUUUGGUUCUGGUAGAAGAAUGUGUGCUGGGAUUCCUCUAGCUGAGAGGAUGCUGAUGUUUGUUUUGGCUUCGUUAUUGCACUCAUUUGAGUGGGAAUUGCCAGCUGGCACAAAGCUAAAUUUAUCUGAAAAAUUUGGGUUUGUCAUUAAGAAAAAAGAGCCUUUGGUUGCUAUUCCAACACCAAGACUAUCCAAUUCAGAGCUUUACCAUUAAAACAGAAUGAUUGUGAUGAUUUUGUUAGUAUCGGAAGAUUUGUAUGUUAUUUCAAGUUCAAUCGUAAUAAAAUAUUUUAAUAAAAGUCCUCCGUUGCUAAUUUUUUUUUUCAACGGCAUAAUCUGUCAUCAUGCUUGUGUUUGGAGCUACUUUGGAAUGAUUAUUUUUGAAUUACAAUUUAUAAAUAUUUAGGUUUUAAAUUUUUUAUAAGAGUCUAAAUUUAUACACGUUCAGUAAAAGAUUCCCUAAAAGCUUUACAAUUCAAAAUUCUAUUAAAAGUAUAGAUGAAACUUUUAUACCUACUAAUUUUUUGGUCUAUUCUACAAGUUUAAAGAGGAGAUAUUUCUAGAGCUAGCAAAAAGAGCUACCUGAUUGUUUUCGCGUUAUGUCAAUUUUUUUAUUGUGUUAAAUUUAAUUUGACCCACAUAUGACCCAUUUAAUAAUCGUGUCAAAAUAUUGAAACUUGAACUUGAUACGGAAAAUAAAUGGAUGACCACACACACCCAUUUAAGAAUUAGGUAACUAUGUCACUUAAUACGACAUAACCCAAUAACUCGUUUAAUACAUAUUUAACAUAAUUUACAUUGUACAUUGUACACCCUUUUGUCAUAAAUUACACUAUUUUAUAUUUCUAAAUAAUAUUAUAUAUUGAUAUUAUAAAAAAAUAUCAAUAAUCUCAAAAUUUGUACACCUCCUAACUUUUAAAAAGAAAUAAAAAAACUAAUUAAUUAAUGUUUAUUUUAUUCAUUAAUAUAUCAUAAUCCUACAUGUAUUUUAUUUGUUAUUUUUUUUAUUUAAAAAGAUAGGAGGGUGGAUGAAACUCAAAUAAAUUUUUAGCCUAUCCUGAUCUUUCAAGUUUCUUAUUUAGGAGGCCAGUUAAAAAAAAUUACUUAGAAAGCUACUCCAUCAAUUUAACAAAUUUUAUUUAUUUAAUUAAUGGAGGUGUAGAAAAUAAAAGUAUCUGCAAGCACAUUGCAAUAGUGAAAGCAAUGUACCGGUGUUGCAACAUAACUGAAUCUUGAUAACCUAUCACAUAUUUUAAGUUUUAAUAUUGGUAGUUCACGGAUCGGUUUCUACUUCCACGAACAAUUAUUGAAGGAAAUGAGUUUUUUUUUUAAUGAAUAUUUAUAGACCCCGAUUAAAUAUUCGAAUAUAUAAUAAAAGAGAAACUGACAUAGAAAUGAGAAAGAUAUUUGGAGGAGGCCAAAAAAAAAAAAAAAAAUGCAACAGAGAAUUAGAUCAGCAACACAAGUAACUAAUUAAUUCAUCUAUACAUCAUAAUCCUAUUUGUAUCUUCUUCCUUCUACUAAUUUACAUAUAAAUUUGGUUAGAUAAAACAUAUUUUAAUACUCGGUCACAAGCGGUGGAUAUAGAAAAUUAAUUUAGAGGGGGUAAUACCAUAACGAAAAAUAAUGAUUCAUAACUAAAAUCAACCCCAACAUCAAAACUUAUUUACAAGAUUACGCCCAGUCAAAGGUAAUUUUUCCUAAAAACUAAUACGAAAUUAAAUAAAUUUAACUUUUAGUGGGUUCAAGUGCCCACGCAUUCUGAACGUAGAUCCACCCCUGGCCCCGACUGAAGCAUUUUUUACAAUAUGUACUCAGUUUAUCAACAGGAACAACCUUCCACUUUAAAUUAAAAUUUUCACUUAAAAAUGAUUAAUGUUAAUGAGGUUAGCAACAAAAAUGAGUUUAAUUAGAGAAUAUUAUAAGAGAAAUUAUAUUUUUUGACUUUUAAUAAAUUAAAAUAUUAUUAGUUGGUGGUGGUUUCACGUCAGAUUAAGACGUGACACUUUACUUAUGAGGUCGAGACAAUCGACUUAAACUAUUUCAAUGCAUUUGAAAUUUGCACUAAUGGCUAUCAUUCUUUGUCCAAAUUAAUACGAUAAUUAAUAACAUACAAUUGAAAUAAUUAAUACUAGCACUUGGCAAUAAAUAAAGCUCUUGUGCUUGAAUCGUCACACAUGAUCACUUCAUUCCUUUAUUUACUUUGCUACCACAAAUUUUGAGGCAUUAUAACUAAAUAAUAAUUGAAUAGGGCUUUGUGUUACUUGUUGUGCGCGCGGAAUGCGGAAUCAAGCACACCAAAUUAUUACAGAAAAAUAAAGGACACAAUUAUUUGACGUGGUUCGGUAAUUAAACUUACAUCCACGGAGGCAAGAAAGAAUAAUUGUUUAUUUAACAAUUAAUAGAGUACAAAUAUUUGAGUAACGAAUCUCACUUCUCAGAAACCUAAAUAUACCCAAUACUCUCACACUCUGCAGGAAAGAUAAAUUAUCCAAACACACUUCUCUCACUUCUCUAAAAAACUUAAAAAUUUAAAAACUUAACAAUUUUGGAAUGCUUUAGAAUAGAAGAAGUGCCAUCUUAUAGGAAAAAUAAUGAUACUAUUGCACCAACCUCUUUACUAUUCCACCUAACAUAAGCAAAUUGUCAAUAGUGUCCAUUUAACUUUUUAUUUUUUUUCUUCAAUUGUUUAGUAGCCCUUUAAAAAUCUGCGUGGUUUCUUGAAAUUUAGAUGCCACAUGCAUGACUUUUCAACACUAAUUACUACGAUAAUUAAUAUUAGCACUUGGCAAUAAAUAAAGCUCUUGUGCUUGAAUCGUCACACACGAUCACUUCAUUCCUUUAUUUGCUUUGCUACCACAGAUUUUGAGGCAUUAAAACUAAAUAAUAAUUGAAUAUGGCUUUGUGCGUCGAUGACGCCAGCAACAAGGGGACCACAAUUAUCACUUUUUAAGUUGCUUUUAAAAUUGAUUUUAAUAGUGAUUUGAUUAUUGUAGUGUUUUUAUUUUUAUAUUAAAAUUAAGUCGAUUUGUUAUAAUAAACUUAGUUGAGUUUAAUGGUAUUACUACAUAAAUUGAAUAGUCAUCAAAUAUUUUAAUGUUUUUAUGGCAAGUGUUGACGUGGCAUUUAUUUGUUGUAUGAUGGAUUUUAAAAUUUAUAAAAUUAUUUGUUAUUAAAUUACCCCCAGAUGCUGCAUCACCUGAAACUUAAUAAAGGGCAUGUAGCAUUGCCAUUACUCAACAUUCACUCUUAUGACUUUAUGACAUUAGAAUUAAAAUCUUUCGUACAUUUAAUUUGUUUGCUUCCAGAUUAAUCUUUAAAAAUAUUUUUUUCACAUUAUCAUGAAUGGACAAAACUCCAACGAAAAUAACUACGCAAGAGCAAUCUAUGCUAGUAUUAUAUGCCACGAUAUCUAUAACUUUGUCAGGUCUCAGGAUCGAUCAUUCUAAUUUUUACGCAGAACUUUUAAUCAAUGGACAAACACCUCACCGAGCUUGUCGGCAGCAUUACUACGAUGUAAAAUUGUACCGGAAUAUCUUGAAGUAUUAGUAGAAUAAUGAAGACUAUUUGGAGCAAUAAAAACAAAUAACGCAGAUAAAAAAAAUGGCUAAAAUUAUGUAAGUGAGCCCCAAAGUUUUUGCUAUUUCCAGGAAAUCCCAAAUUUGAAUGGACUAGAGGGAGGCACGUAAGAAAUACAUUUUCUUCCUAGACAAUGACAGCUAUGACAUCAAGCCACGUAUUGAAAUUAAGGUGUAAUUAUUCAGCCAAUGAGCCUUACACACCAAGAUGUAUAAAAGUCAAGAAAAUGAAAUUUUAUCCCAAUUAAAACACUUUCUGGCUGCAAUUGGCUGUUUCCAUUUGAAGUUAAAAAACAACAACGUUUCUUUCGUUUUGUGGGCGAUUCGAUUGAGCACGCGCCACGAGCUAGCUGGCUUCCAGUGCUUGCGUGUGACAAUAGAAGGCUAGUGAUUUCACUUUCGCUUUUUUUUUUUUUUCUUUUUUUUGGGGAAUCAAGAUAAAAGCCAAGAAAAUGAAAAUUGGGCUGUUUCCAUUUGAAGUUAAAAACAGUGUUUCUUUCGGGGCGUCAAUUUGAUAUUUGAAUGGACAGGCAAGUAAGAAAUACAAUUCCUUCAUAGACAAUGACAACGAGGACAUCAAGGCACAUCAUUAUAGUUUGUAGCCCAUCUACAUUUAAACGAUUAAUAAACAAGCUUAGGUGUGCCACUGCUAUUAUUAAUUAUCCCCUGAUCAUUAUAGUUUCUGAAACAGUAAAACAAAACGAAAUUGAAUACAUCAACGAGAUCGCAAUUAUCACUUGUUUAGUUGCGGUAUUUAACUUAAUUUUAAUCUAAUAUAUUUGUUAGUUAAACUUUUAAUAAUCAAAUAAUUUUGACUUAAAAAUAAAAUUAUAGAAAUUAUUAAUUAUUAAAAAUUCACACAUAGCUAUUGUUUUCUCUAUAUAUUGCAGUGUGUACGAUAUUGAGGGUUGAAGCCCAAAGCAUGCCCUAAAAUCCAGAUAAUAAUUAGAUCCGGGCCAAAUAUUCAUCAUUGUGUCGGCUGAUCAGUCGGUGGACAUCUCUAUUGAAAAAAUCUCUGACAUUUCUCUCGACAAACUUAUUACUAAAAAAAAAUCAGUGGUUUUGCCGUCUGAAUAAUGUAGAAAAAUUUGUCUGUGCAUUAAUCUAGAUGUUUGAGGUGAUUUAUACAUCUGUGAUAAAGAUUUAUAGGUUGACUUAUACGUCUGUGGUAUAGAUUUUAUGUAUUUCAUUACAAAAUGCUGGCCGUUAGAACCCUUUCUACAUCUAUUUAUAAGAUUAACGGGUGCCAGUUAUGCCAUUACAAAUUAUCCCCUCAUCAGAUAUUUCGUUAAAAUUCAUUCUGAAACACUAAAACUAAAUAAUCGAACAUGGCUUUGCGGGUCGAUGAUGCCAGAAGCAAUUCGACUGCAAUUAUCACUUGUUUAGUUUCUGUGCUUGCCGUGGUUUACUUGGCAUGGAAUGUGAAAAAAUCAAGGAAAGCAAAUGCUAAACUGCCACCAGGACCUCCCGGCUUGCCUGUAGUCGGAUACCUCCCAUUUCUCGGAACUACUGACUUGCACAAGAAAUUCACGGAAUUAUCCGGAGUUUACGGUCCGAUCUUCAAGCUCUGGCUCGGAAAUAAAUUAUGUGUAGUGGUGAGCUCACCUUCCCUAAUUAGACAAGUGGUUCGUGAUCAAGAUACAACAUUCGCGAACCGUGACCCACCGAAGGCUGCACUAGUGGUCUCCUAUGGUGGCAAUGAUAUUGCAUGGUCCAAUUACGGUCCCGAAUGGAGAAAGUUGCGCAAAUUUUUUGUGGGCAAGAUGAUGAGUAACGCAAGCCUUGAUGCUUGUUAUGCUCUAAGAAAACAAGAGGUUAAAAAUACUAUCAGGGAUUUGUAUAACAACGACAACAAAAUUGGCAAGCCCAUUGACAUUGGUGAAUUGUCGUUUUCAACAUUGGUAUGUGCUAUACAGAACAUGCUGUGGGGUGAAGCGCUUGAAAUAAGAGAGAAAGGGACCACUAAUCUUGGGGCUGGGCUAAAAUUUAAGCUGGCAGAACUCAUGGUGCUUGCGGGAACACCGAAUAUUUCGGAUGUCUUUCCAAUGCUUUCAUGGCUUGACAUACAAGGUAUAGAGAGGAGAGCAAAGAAGAUUUCACUCUGGCUUGAAAAUGUUAUAAAUUCUACUGUUGAACAGCAUAGAAACAAGGAGUCAACUGUUGAAGGUGAAGAAAGAGCGGGGAAAAAUUUUGAAGGAUCAAGGAACAAGAACUUCUUGCAGUUACUAUUGGAGCUUCAAGAAAAUGAUGACAGUGCUUCCUCAAUUAGCAUGAACCAAUUCAAGGCCGUACUCAUGGUAUGUUAAGUAACUAGCAACGAACAGUUAUACAAGCACAGUUGUAUAUUUGCAUGAGUGAUAUUUUCAACCUUUUUUUUUAAUUAGAAUUUUAUUGUCACCUUUUGGACAGGAUAUAAUUACGGCUGGAACCGACACCACAGCUACGAUGGUGGAAUGGACAAUGGCAGAGUUGAUGCAGCAUCCACAAGUAAUGAAGAACGUUCAGGAAGAAUUAGCUCAAGUUGUGGGCAUGGACAGUUGUGUUGAAGAAUUUCACCUGUCUAGAUUAAAGUAUUUAGAUGCUGUGGUGAAGGAAACAUUUCGUCUGCAUCCUGCAGUGCCUUUAUUAGUACCACGCAGAGCAAGCGAGAGUGGCAGCAUUGGUGGCUAUACCAUUCCCAAAGAUACAACUCUUAUGUUGAAUGUUUGGGCUAUCCACAGGGACCCUCACCUUUGGGAUAAUCCCUUAGAAUUUCGACCCGAGAGGUUUCUGAAUGUUGGUGUCGAGAGUAAGUUCGAUUACUCAGGUAACAAUUUUCAGUACUUGCCAUUUGGUUCUGGUAGAAGAAUGUGUGCUGGGAUUCCUCUAGCUGAGAGGAUGCUGAUGUUUGUUUUGGCUUCGUUAUUGCACUCAUUUGAGUGGGAAUUGCCAGCUGGCACAAAGCUAAACUUAUCUGAAAAAUUUGGGAUUGUCAUUAAGAAAAAAGAGCCUUUGGUUGCUAUUCCAACACCAAGACUAUCCAAUUCAGAGCUCUACCAUUAAGACAAAAUGGUUGUGAUGAUUUUGUUAAUUUUCCGAAGAUUUGUAUGUUAUUUAGUUCAAUCGUAAUAAAAUAUUUCAAAUAAGAGUCCUCCGUUGCUUUUUUUUUUUUUUUUUUUUCAACGGCAUAAUCUGUCGUCAUGCUUGUAUUUGGAGCUACUUUGGAAUAAUUAUGUUUGAAUUACAAUUUAUAAAUAUUUACGUUUUAAAUUUUUUAUAAGAGUCUAAAUUUAUACACGUUUAAUAUCCCGCUUCAUAGAUAUUUAACACAAUUUAUAUCAUACAUUGUAUACCCAUUUGUCAUAAAUUAUACUAUUUUGUAUCUCUAAAUAAUAUUACGUAUUGAUAUUAUAAUAUAUAUAUAUAUGUUUAUCAAAAGACUAUACCAUUCAAUAUAUAUUGAAAAGAGAACAAAGAAGAUUUUCUUAUGGUUUAAAAAUAUUAUGAAUUCUGCUGUUGAACAGUAUGGAAACAAGGUCUCUGUUGUUAAAGGUGAAGAAGCAACAGGGAACAAUAUUGAAGGAAGAAAUUUCACAUGUUUAGUUGCUGAAUUUGCCGCUGUAUUCUAUCGGUAGUAGAGUUUUUAUUUUUCUCUAUUAAUUUAAGUCAAUUUUCUAUAACAAAUUCGGUUGAGUUUAAUUGUGUUAUAAUAUAAAUUGAAUGAUAAUAGAAUUUUCAACAAAUAUUUCAAUAUUUCUAUCUCGAUUGUUGAAGUGCCAUUUAUUUGUUAUGCGAUCGAUUUUAAAAUUUAUAAAAUUAUUUGUUACUAAAUUGCAUCAUAUGCUAAAAUCACCUGAAACCUAAUUCCAUAACUAACCCUUUAUUUUUAGUUCUCAAGAAAUCUUGUAAGAACAAAAAUCUUUUAUAACAAAACUUUUACAACACAUUAAUUUGUAACUCAUUCCUGUGCGCGAAUCACUCUCAAUUUCCUUCAAUUGCUGUUUAACAAUCAUCUACUUAUCAAAAUUCAAGCAUAAUCUUUUUUUUUUAAUUUCUUCAUCAUUCUUUAAAAAAAAAAUCAGGAUAUGCUGUUAAAUUUUGAAAUAAAUAAAUUAACCAAAGUUGGUUGAUGUGAGUGGUUCAAUGAUGAGCAUAAUUUAUAUACAUAUUUUACCUUUAAUUAUAUAAUUAUUAGUUAUUUUUAUUAGUUAUUUUUAAUUAAUUGAAUUAUUUUAUUGCAUAGAGAAUUAAUUGGAGAUUGGGAAACAAAAAGUGCAUAAAGAAUAACAAGUUUGGGAAAGCAUCAAUCAAAGCCGUGACGCAAUUAAGAGUUUAUAGCAUAUGAAGCCAAGAGUAAUUUGCACUCAAAAAGAAUUUCAAUUAUUCAAGUGACCUGGACCUGCAUGGCAUUGUAAUGCAUGGAAAGCAACUUAAAGGGGCCCACACUUGGCUUUUACAAUUGGAAAAAGGAAUCCUAGUGCAAGCUUAAUUGAUGAGCACGUGAGUGAGAGCAAAGAAAAUUAAAAGGCCAAGCCUUUUGGCUUAAGGAAAUAACAAGGUCGGUGGGGCCCAUUUUAAAGAGUAAUAUAAAAGCAAGCUUUUGGCUUUUGGAGAGAGGAGCCGCGAGAGGAGGAAAACGCAAGACAAAGAGAAGAAAAUCUGCAGCAGUUCGGCUUCUAUGGUUGGUUUUAUCUCUUUUGUUACUCUUAAUUCAAAUAUGUCUAGUUAAUUUUCUUAUAUUAAAGUUAAGGAUGAAACCCUAUUCAAUGAAAUAAUUAUCUUUUUAUUUAUUUAAUUCCCAUAUAUGUUCUUUAAUGAUUAUGAUUUUUAUUUCACAUGAUUAAUUGGAUGUUAUUAAAAUUUUUUCAUCAAUUCUGUCAUGCAUUAUUGAUUGUUAGGAUUAAUAUUCAAUUAAAUCUAUACUUAGAUUUAUAACGUUUAUACAUGAUUAUCUUUGAUUCUAUGUCUUUCAUUAAAUUGUUUACAUGGAGUGCUUAGGAAAACUUUGACUCUUUGUUAUUCAAUAUGUUCACAUGGGAUACUUAGAUGUCAUACUAUUAAGCGGAAAAAGAACCUAUAUUAGAUUUAAUUAUUUGGGCUUAAUUGUUAUAUCCAUGAGAUGACACAAAUUGAUUUCGAGUUGUCACUCUAAAAUUAGAGAUUAAUGAAUAUUUAGAUAAUUACUAGUUGAAUAGCGGUGGAUUCUGAAACCUUGGUAAUUUCUAUCUUAUUGAAUUCUCCUUUACUUUAAUUGUUUUCUUAGUUUAAUUAAUUUAAUUUCUUUUAAAACUCAAUUUGCUUAACUAGGUUAGAAUUAAUAUUAAUUUUAGAUUUAAAUUAGACUUUUCAAUUUAUAACAAUCCAUGUGGGAUCGACCUCGUUACCACUACUUUAUUUCUAGAUUCGUGCACUUGCGAGUAUAUUAAAAUUUUCACAACAAGUUUUUGGCGCCGUUGCCGGGGAUUGUGCCAGAAAGUCAGUUUAAUCUAGGUUGAUUUGAUUCUUCCACUAGUUAUAAUUUAUGUUGUCUUUUAUUUUAUUAUUAUUUUUAAUUAACAAAAACACACAAAAAAACUUUUAUUUUUCUUUAAAUUCAUUGUUUGGUUGUUUGAUUUCUUUUAUUUUUUAAAUUUUGUUUAUUCUCAUUAUUGUUGGUUUAUUUUAUUUUAUUUUUUUCUUUCCUUGUCUAGUUAGUUUAUGAGUGUUUGGGAAUGUGAUUCAACAAAUCGUUUGGUAAAAGAGAGUCAAAAAUUGAUAGUAGUCAAGUUAGUUCUUCUGAAGUCAUGGAUGACCCAAAUAGAUUAUUGCCAAUACUUCCACCAGUGCAAGCAGAGAAAACCCUUAGAGAAUAUUUUUCACCACUUGCAGCCAACCAACCAUCUUGUAUUGUGUUGCCACAAACUACAGCAACACACUUUGAACUUUUUGAACUUAAGCCCUCAGUCAUCCAACUUUUACCAUCUUUCCAUGGGUUAGAGAGAGAGGAUCCAUAUUUGCACAUUAAGGAAUUUCUUGACAUAUGCUCUACAUUCCGUUUUCAAAAUUUUAAUGAUGAGUUAAUCAGGCUUCGUAUGUUAUCUUUCUCAUUAAAAGACAAAGCAAAAGCUUGGUUGAAUUCGCUUUCUGCUGGGUCUAUAACUACGUGGGAUGAAUUGAAUAAUAAGUUCCUCACCAAGUUUUUCCCUAUGUCUAAAACAAAUGCCCUUAGGAGAGAGAUAAGUGAUUUCUAUUAAAGAGAGGGUGAGCAAUUUUAUGAGUGUUGGGAAAGAUUCAAUGAUUUACUCCUCAAGUGCCCCCACCAUGGUUUUGAGAAAUGGAGACUUAUACAAUGCUUUUAUAACGGUUUAACCAUGUCGAAUCGUCAUAUGGUAGAGUCUAUGAAUGGUGGGAGAUUUUUGAACCUACAUGAAGGGGCUGCAUGGGAUUUCUUUAAUUCACUUUCUGAGAAUUCUCAACAGUGAGAUUUUUCAAGCCAAAGGGAAAAAUCAUCUCAAGUUUCUAGAAAGGGGUUAUAUGAAGUUAAGGAUGAUUUUGAUGUGAAAUCCACUCUAAUUACACUUUCUAGAAAAGUAGAUGCCUUAGCUCUGAACCAAUCAAUGAAUCAUCAUCCUAGUGUAGCUAAUGAGGUUUGUGCUAUUUGUUCUAACUUGUCUCAAACAGCACAAAACUGUCCAUCAUUACCAGUCUAUCCAGAGGCUUAUUCUGAGCAGGUACAUGCCUUACAAUCAUAUGAGAAAACCUCCAAUAAUACAUAUUCACUCACAUAUAAUCCUAAUUGGAGGAAUCACCCUAAUUUUUCUUGGAAACAAAAUCAAUCUUUGUCAAACCAAGGAGGACAACAAUUUAACAUGCCCAAUCAACAAUUUGUCCCUCCUAACCAAGUAUAUCCUCCUGCCCAACAACCUAUAUCUCAAUUUGUUACACCCCAACAAAGAAAACCUUCUUUAGAGGAUACACUUCAAAGUUUCAUUCAGUCAACCUAAUAAGCUUUUCAGUCAAACACUCAAGCUAUUCUAAAGCUUGAACAUCAAUUGGGUCAAUUAGCAACUACUGUAGCGGAGAAAGAAAAAAGAAAAUUCCCCAGUCAAUCAAUUCCUAAUCCUAAAGGAGUGCAUGAAGUUGGAUCGAGUUCAAGCCAUCAGCAUGAAGAAGCAAAAUCAAUUAUGACCUUGAGAAGAGGAAAAUUGUUUGACAACAAAGUGGAGGUUCAAACAAAGAAGACAUCUGAGCCUACUUCUUCAGAUCCAAUUACAUCACAAGAAUCAUCACCAAAUGAUCUUGAAGAGAGUGACCCGCUAGCUUACAUUCCCAAGGCUCAUUUUCCUCAAAGGUUAACAAAGGUAAAGAAAGGGACUUCAACAUGUGAGAUUAUAGAAAUCUUCAAGCAGGUAAGUAUAAACAUCCAUUUACUCGAUGCUAUUAAGCAAGUUCCUUCCUAUGCCAAGUUUUUGAAAGAUUUAUGCACUAAAAAGAGAAAUUUGCAUGUCACUAAAAAGGCGUUUUUAACUGAACAAACUAGCAAUUUACUUCAAUGUAAAAUGCCACCAAAAUUUAAGGAUCCUGGUUCUCCUACUAUUUCAUGUGUUAUAGGGAACCAAUGUUUUGAUAAAGCAUUAUUGGAUUUAGGUGCUAGUGUUAAUCUCUUACCUUAUUCCAUUUACAUGCAGCUUGGACUAGGUGAGUUAAAAUCAACUCCUAUUAUUUUGCAACUUGCUGAUAGGUCAAUGAAAAUACCUCGUGGUAUUAUAGAGGAUGUGUUGAUACAGAUUGACAAAUUUUAUUAUCCUGUUGAUUUUAUUGUUAUUGAUACUCAACAUGUACAUGAUCUUAAGAAACACACUCCACUUAUUCUUGGUCGUCCUUUCUUAGCUACAGCUGAUGCUCAUAUUAGUUGCAGGACUUGAAACAUGCAAUUGUCUUUUGGUAACAUGACCAUGGAAUUAAAUAUUUUUAAUGUUCCCAAGCAGGCACAAGAAGAUGAUGAAGUCGUUGAAGUAGAUAUGAUAGAAGCAUCAAUUGAUGACUCACUUAUUUCUAACCAUUGUGACAAUCCAUUAAUACCUUGCACAACUGACUCUGAUUUCUCUAUUGAUGUUGAUAGUGAUAUUGAAGAAGUUAAUGCUUUACUUGAUUCGACUCUUAUCAUAGAUCUAAUUAAGUGGAAAGAAAAGAUAAGAUUGAGCCACUUCCUCCUGAAGAGAAAAGUGCAACAUAGGUCACAUUCUGACAUAAAAAAGGUGGUAAGAUCUAAAACGCUUAAAUUAUUAGAUUUUUAUACUACUUUAGAUAACUCUCAGGAAAGCUUAGAACAGAAGAGAUCAAAGCAAUGCGAUAUUGAGGAGUUUCAUUACCAUCAUCCUUUUAUGGAUAAAAUGCUCCAGUGCUUAAUCAAUUAUGCUUUUUGGUAUUUUCUAUAUAAUUGCUUUAAUUUUCACCAAAUUCUUAUUGAUCCUGGUUGAUUUGUUGUUUACAUUAAUUAGUUAGUUAGUCGGAUUUUUUUAUUAUUAUUUAUAUUUCUUCUAACGUUUUCUUUUGAGUUGUCAUUCUUUUAAGUUUUCCUAGCUCAGUCAGGUGUGUUCUCUCCAACUUUCUCUUUUAUUAUUUAUGUUUUUAUUUUUCAUCUUUUUGCGUGCAUAUCUUUUAUUUAUGACACAUUGAGGACAAUGUUCCGAAUAAGUUUGGGGGUGGGAAUAAUGUUGCUUUGUUUGUUAAAAAAAACUAAAAAAAAAUUUCAAAAAUUCAAAAAAAAAUUGUGUUUUUUUUGUUUUUACGUGAAAAGCCAAUGAUAAAAACUUGAUUGACAAUGAAUAUGGUUUUUAGAAAGGGUUUAAUAUUGUCUUAAUUUAUACUUGAUUCUUAUGUUAGUUCCUCUUGAUUGAGAUUCUUUAAAAUAUAAGCACUAAUAUCAAUUCUUUCAUAAUUUUGACUUGAAAUUUGAGAUUGACGCAGCCUGAGUUGAGAAUUUUAGAUAGAGUAAAUGACUGUUUGUCUUUAUUCUUAUCUCCACAAUACAAAAUAGUAUACACAGGCACCAAAGUCAGAAAUAACUACCUAUAAUCCUUAAGAGUGAAGCUAUCCUUGAGUAAUUUAGGCCUAUGUACCACAAGUAUGUAGAGGAUAAUCUACCAUGAGAAGAAUGCUACCUUAAGGGGUAGAGUGAAAGCUCCUGACUAUGGUUAAAAAAAAAAGAAGAAGAAAAAGAGAAAGAAAAAAUCAAAUCAAGUGCAUGUGCUGAAAAAAAAAUCAAAAGAAAAUGCACAUAAAAGCCUGUGAAAAAAAAAUUGGAGAUUAAGAUGAUAAGAUUAGCUUGACCUACUCUUUUCUUUUUUUGAGGCGAAGGUUGUUGAUAUUGAAGAUUUUAGGAAUGAAUUUGAUUGAAUUGAUUUCACACACACACAACAAGAAUCGAAAGAGAGAUGGGAUUGAUUAUUGAAUUAAAGUUAGAACUUUGCCAAUAUUUGAAAUUUUGUUUGAGCUAUAUAAUUUAUGCAAUCUUUGAGGGUAUUUUCAUAUUUUAUUUAAAGUUUUUUUUUCUUUUUAUUUUAUUUUAUUUAUUUUUUAUUUUUUUAAAAUGAUGUUUGUGGGUGUCAUCACUGAAGCUCUCACGAGACUAUAACUCGUCCACUAGGGGUUUAAAGGCUUGUUGCAUACGCUAAAUGCAAUCGCGAUUACCUGCGAAAAUGGUUUAGUUAGGAUUUACUUUUUGUUUUGUUAUUUUUUUUUUUUUUUUUAGUUUUAGCUUUGCUCGAGGACUAGCAAAAUCUAAGUUUGGGGGUAUUUGAUGAGCAUAAUUUAUAUACAUAUUUUACCUUUAAUUAUAUAAUUAUUAGUUAUCUUUAUUAGUUAUUUUUAAUUAAUUGAAUUAUUUUAUUGCAUAGGGAAUUAAUUGGAGAUUGGGAAACAAAAAGUGCAUAAAGAAUAACAAGUUUGGGAAAGCAUCAAUCAAAGCCAUGACACAAUUAAGAGUUUAUAGCAUAUGAAGGCAAGAGUAAUUUGCACUAAAAAAGAAUUUCAAUUAUUCAAGUGAUCUGGACGUGCAUAGUAUUGUAAUGCAUGGAAAGCAACUUAAAGGGGCCCACACUUGGCUUUUACAAUUGGAAAAAGGAAUCCUAGUGCAAGCUUAAUUGGUGAGCACGUGAGUGAGAGCAAAGAAAAUUAAAAGGCCAAGCCUUUUGGCUUAAGGAAAUAACAAGGUCGGUGGGGCCCAUUUUAAAGAGUAAUAUAAAAGCAAGCUUUUGGCUUUUGGAGAGAGAAGCCGCCAGAGGAGGAAAACGCGAGACAAAGAGAAGAAAAUAUGCCGCAGUUCGACUUCUAUGGUUGGUUUUAUCUCUUUUGUUACUCUUAAUUCAAGUAUGUCUAGCUAAUUUUCUUAUAUUGAAGUUAAGGAUGAAAUCAUAUUCAAUGAAAUAAUUAUCUUUUUAUUUAUUUAAUUCCCAUAUAUGUUCUUUAAUGAUUAUGAUUUUUAUUUCACAUGAUUAAUUGGAUGUUAUUAAAAUCUUUUCAUCAAUUCUGUCAUAUAUUAUUGAUUGUUAUGAUUAAUAUUAAAUUAAAUCUAUACUUGGAUUUAUAAAGUUUAUACAUGAUUAUCUUUGAUUCUAUGUCUUUCAUUAAAUUGUUUACAUGGAGUGCCUAGGAAAACUUUGACUCUUUGUUAUUCAAUAUGUUCACAUGGGAUACUUAGAUGUCGUACUAUUAAGCGGAAAAAGAACCUAUAUUAGAUUUAAUUAUUUGGGCUUAAUUGUUAUAUCCAUGAGAUGACAUAGAUUGAUUUCGAGUUGUCACUCUAAAAUUGGGGAUUAAUGAAUAUUUAGAUAAUUACUAGUUGAAUAGUGGUGGAUUCUGAAACCUUGGUAAUUUCUAUCUUAUUGAAUUCUCCUUUACUUUAAUUGUUUUCUUAGUUUAAUUAGUUUAAUUUCUCUUAAAACUCAAUUCGCUCAACUAGGUUAGAAUUAAUAUUAAUUUUAGAUUUAAAUUAGACUUUUCAAUUUAUAACAAUCCCUGUGGGAUCGACCUCGUUACCACUACUCUAUUUCUAGAUUCGUGCGCUUGCGAGUAUAUUAAAAUUUUCACAACAUUCGGCACUCUCACUCCUUAAGAGAGGUCAGGGGUUCAAGCCUCGCUCUCGUAUGGAGUCACCACUUUGACCAGCACUUUACCCCUUACAGACCGACCCGGUGCGAGCAUGAAUUAGUCUGGGUUGUGGUACGGGCUUAAAGGUGCCUCCCACAAUUGAGACCCACUCAGGACCACCUCGUGGUUCGGACAAAAAAAAAAUUGAAAUAAAUUAUCUCAAAAUAAUUACUAACCAGAAAAAACAAAGGGGUUUAACUAGGUUAUGCAUACCUUUGAAAAUUAUAUGUUGAUCGAUAAGCAUGAUGAUCACGAUUGAGGAGUUUAAUUAAAAUUUAUAAGAUUUUAAAAUUAAUCAGGGUUAAAUUCUAAAUUUUAGAAAGAGAGGUUUUGUGAGAAUGCUGAAAGGGUGUUAAUAGUUCCACUCUUUUUUAAAAAAACCAUAGUCAUCAUUUUUCCCGAUUUCUUCUUCCCAUCUCCAUCUUAUUUAGAAAUUUCCCAGAGCCUUUGUUUCCCACCAUUCAUUUUUCUUCUUUCUAAUUUAAGAUUAUAGUAUUAUAAAAAUAAUUACUCACAUUUUAUCAAACACCUCCAUUAUACCAAGGCCUUGUUUUAGUAGUAGGCUUUUAUUAUCUCAAUAAAAUUGAAAAAACAAAGCUCAAUAAUAUUGGAAAAAAAACCUACCCAUAUUUGUAACUUUAAUUUAUUAUUCUCCAUAGACCUACUUUUUAGCUUUGAAUUUUGUUGGAGCCAUAUAUAAACAGAAUAUGUUGAAAUCAGCACAAAAAAAAAACUAAUUAUAUAAUUUUUGUUCCCAAGGACACGACUGUGUGAUUUUUAAGAAGUUUUGUUUGGCUGGCCACUUAGGUUUAAAUCUUGGUGGAGAUUAGGGGUUAAGAAAUAAAUUUGGACUUUGCACACCCCUUUAACUUUUAAAAAGAAUGAAAAAAACUAAUUAAUUAAUCUUUAUUUUAUUUAUUAAAUGUCAUAAUCAUAUGCAUAUUUUAUUUGUUAUCUUUCUAUUUAAAAGAUAGGAGGGCAAAUAAAACUGAAAUAAAUGUUUAUCCCUAUCUCCAUCUUUCAAGUUCCAUAGUUAGGUGACCAGCUAAAGAAAAUUAAUUGAAAGUUACUCCAUCAAAUUAAAAAAAAUUAUUUAUUUAAUUUGUGGAGAUGUAGAAAAUCAAACCCCAUACCUUUUCGCAUGCAAAAGUGUCAACCUGGUCUAGCUAUGUUGCAACAGUAAACAUAUUUUAAUACAUGACUAUCAUCUUUUAUCCUAAAUACUACUAUAACUAUGGGUUCAGUUAUGCUGUAACUGUGGUAUGGUACCACAGUUGUUUUCAACCAUUAAAUUCAACUUAUAUAACUAUGCAACUGUAGAUCUAACGGCUGAAAGCAACUAUGGUACCAUACCACAGUUGCAACAUAGUUUUGCCCCUAUAACUCAUAACAUUCAAUUGAAAUAAUAAAUGUUAACACUUGGCUAUAAAUAAAGGUUUUGUACUUGAAUCUUCAUGCAUGACCUUCAUUCCUUUAUUGACUUUGCUAACACAGAUUUUGAGGCAUUAAAACUAAAUAAUAAUUGACUUUGUGGGCCGAGGAUGCCAGCAACAAGGAGACCACAAUUAUCACUAGUUAAGUUACUCUAAUUGCCGUUGUCUUAUAUUCAUAAAAUAUUAGUAAUAAGAUUAUUGUAGAAUUUUUUUAUAUUAAAAUUAAGUCAAUUUGUUAUAACAAAUUUAGUUGAGUUUAAUCGUGUUACUACAUACAUUGAAUAAUAAUAGAAUUCUCGACAAAUAUUUCAAUAUUUUUAUCCCAAGCGUUGGAGUGGCAUUUAUUUGUUAGACAAUCGAUUUUAGAACUUAUAAAAUUAUUCGUUACUGAAUUGCACCAUAUGCUGCAUGACCUGAAACUUAAUAAACGGAACGUAGCGUUGGCAACAUUCACUGUCAUGACUUUGUGACAUUAGAAUUAAAUUUUUUUGCACAUUUAAUUUGUUUACUUCCAAAUUAAUAUUUAACAAAAUAUUUUUUCACAUUAUCAAUGGACAAAACUCCAACGAAAAUAACUAUACAAUAUAUGCUAGUAUUGUAUGCCAUAUCAUCUGUAAUUUUGUCAGGAUCGAUCAUUUUAAUUUUUAAGCAAAACUUUUUAUCAAUGGACAAACACCUCACACAGCUUGUCAGAGGCAUUAUUAUGAUGGAAAACUGAUAAACAGUGAACUCGAAACUCAAUUACUACAAGUCGUUUAGAGGAUUCAGUCUUGGAUGACUUGUCACUUGUGGAAUUCUUGAAGCCAGAACCGACAUAAUCUCAGUCGUCAUUCUGUCUUAAGUAAUACACAUGGUUUGCAUGUGUGUUGAAGCUGACUCUUUGCUUGGAUCAAGAAACGACGUCUUUGAGUGCCGUUUCUUAAACACACUUUAAAUCAGCUUGUGUCAAGCACGUGAGGUAGAGCUUUUUGAAUAGAUUUGGCGGGAAUGGUAGUUAGUGUAACAACCCAGAAAUAGAGGUUAAAAGGUGAAGGCUUUGUCAUCAUCUACACAUGAUUUGGGAAACAUUGAGAGUAGAGAAAAAGAUAGAGAGAGAAAGGGGUUAACAAGUUCUUGUUCUCUGUAAAUCGAUUUAUAUUCUUGUAAAGUUUGUGAUCUCAAUUAGUGAAAGACUGUUGCUUUGUUUCCAGUGGAUGUAGGCACCACUUCUUGGUGCUGAACCACUUAUACUUGGUGUCAUAUUGUUUCUUUAAUGCUUUGAUUCUUGCGUGUGAUUGUUGCUGGAUAAUCUGUGCUGUUAAUUCUCAAACCAUUGAUACAGAAUUAAUGUCUUGGGGAGAAUUUGGUUAGUCUUAUCAAAGCCGAAUUCACAACAAAUUGGUAUCAGAGCCCUCUUUUCUGUAUCAAGGUUCAAGAAAUGACUAACAAGGUGGAUCUUGAGAAGUUCAAUGGUCAGAAUGAUUUCAAUAUGUGGAGGAUCAAGAUGGAAGCAUUGUUAAUCACACAAGGUCUGGGAGAUGCCAUUGAUCCAGUCAUUAAGAGUGAAAAUGCAGAAGCCUAUUCUUCAAGAACUCCAGAACAGAUGGCUAAGAUUGAAAAAAAGGCAAGAAGCACCAUCAUCCUCAGUCUUGGUGACUUAGUGAUAAGGGAAGUUGCCAAGAAAAAGACUGUUGCUAGGCUCUGGGCAAAACUGGAACAAUUGUAUAUGACAAAGUCCUUAGCAAACAGGCUAUACAUCAAGAAAAAGAUGUUCUCACUGAGGAUGAUUGAAGGAGCAUCACUUGAUGAACACAUAGAUGAGUUUAAUAAAGUUUGUGAUGAACUGGAAACAAUUGAUGAAGGACUGAGUGAUGAGAGCAAGGCUUUGCUGUUAAUCAGUUCUUCACCAAAAUCAUAUGAACAUUUUGUGGAUGCCUUGUUAUAUGGAAGGCAAUCACUCUCCUUGGAAGAGGUUAAAUCUACUCUUGGUACCAAGAAGUUAAAAGAAAAACAAGAUAACUCAGAGAGUGAAUCAAGUGAAGGGCUGAUGGCAAGGGGCAGAUCUGAAAAAAAGGAGUACAAAGGAAAAAAACAAGGGAGAUCAAAGUCAAAGCAGAAACAUUUGAAGUGUUUUCACUGCCACAAAGAAGGGCAUUUCAAGAGGGAUUGCCCUGAGAGAAAAACAAAGCAAAAGGAAUCAAAAGACAAAUCUGGAAAUACAGCAAUAGCCACAGAAGAAACCAGUUUUGAGAUAGCUGAAGUCCUCAUUGCCACAAAAGAAAAAAACUCAAGGUCAGUGGGUACUAGACUCUGGAUGUACUUUUCAUAUGAGUCCAAAUAGAAAUUACUUUACUACAUAUCAGUCCUGUGAUGGGGGUAUGGUGCUGAUGGGAAAUAAUUCAGUUUGUAAAGCAGUUGGGAUUGGGACUGUAAGCCUUAAGAUGUAUGAUGGCAUGGUUAGAGAACUAACUCAGUUUAGGCAUGUUCCUGAGCUUAAAAGGAACCUAAUAUCUAUUGGCAUGCUUGAUCAAACUGGAUGUGUCAAUAAGGCUGAAAAUGGGUCAUUGAAAGUUAUCAGAGGCUCAAUAGUCAUAAUGAAAAGUUCCAAGCAAAAUGGUUUGUAUGUGUUGAAUGGACAUACAACUGUUGGAGAGGCAAGUGUCACUGAGAAGAGUGAAGACAAAGCAAGACUAUGGCACUUGAGGUUGGGGCAUAUGAGUGAAAGGGGAUUGAAGGAGCUUCAAAAGAAUGGGGUGUUUGGAAGUGACAAGCUAAGUUCUUUGGGGUUCUGUGAAGACUGUAUCCUAGGGAAGGCUUCCAAUCUCAAGUUUGAAUCUGCAGUUCAUUCUACCAAAGAGAAGCUUGCAUAUAUACACUCUGAUAUGUGGGGGCCUGCACAGGUAAAUUCUCUUGGUGGCUUUAAGUAUUUCUUAUCCUUAAUAGAUGACUAUUCAAGGAUGGUUUGGGUGUAUGUACUCAAAACCAAAGAUGAAGCUUUGGAAAAGUUUUAGAGGUGGAAAAUUCUGGUAGAAACACAGACAAGUUUGAAAGUAAAAGCUCUAAGAACAGAUAAUGAAUUGGAAUUCUGCAACAAAGAGUUUGGAGACUUUUGUAAAAGACAUGAGAUUAUGAGGCACAAAACAGUCAUACACACACCUCAGCAAAAUGGUUUUGCUGAGAGAAUGAACAGAACCUUAAUGGACAAGGUGAGGUGUAUACUGCUAUACUCAAAGCUGCCUAAGUCACUCUGGGCAGAGGCCUUAAACACAGCAUGUUACUUGGUAAAUAUAAGUCCAUCUACAGCAAUAGAAUGCAAAACACCUAUCGAGCUAUGGUCUGGAAGGGUUGCAGAUUACUUUAAACUGAGAAUCUUUGGAUGUGUUGCUUAUGCAUAUGUCAAACAAGGCAAAUUGGAGCCAAGAGCUUUAAGGUGUAGAUUUCUAGGAUACCCUGAUGGAGUUAAAGGCUAUAGGCUAUGGUGCAUUGAUUUGAAGCCACCAAAAUGCAUUAUCAGCAGGGAUGUAACUUUCAAUGAGUCAGAAAUCUUGAACAAAUCCAAAACCACUUAAUCCAAAGAUCAUAUAUCAGAAACAAGACCUGGGAGUGUUCAGUUUGAGGUGGAGUCCUAUGAACAAGAUAGGACUGAAUCAGAAACUGAAGGAGAUUCAGGAAGGGUUACUGAUGGAUUUGAUGUUGUUCAGGAGUCAGAGCCAGCUGAGAAUGAAGAUAAUUCUUAUCAGUUGGUCAGGGAUAGAAAGAAGAGAGCUGUAAGACCACCUAAGAGGUAUACAAUAGCAGAUUUCAUAGCUUAUACAUUAACAGUUGCACAAGAGGUAAAUGAGGAAGAGCUAAGAACCUAUAAAGAAGCUAUAAACAGCAUGGAUAAGAUGAAAUGGAAGGAGGCUAUGGAUGAGGAAAUUGAAUCACUAAUGAAAAAUGGAACUUGGAAGCUGAUAGUUAGACUAGAAAAAAGGAAGACUGUUAGCUGCAAAUGGAUCUUCAAAGUUAAGGAAGGUAUAUCUGAUGCUGAACCUAGUAGGUUUAAAGCUAGGCUGGUAGCAAGAGGCUUCACACAAAGAGAGGGGAUUGAUUUCCAUGAAAUCUUCUCUCUAGUUGUGAAACAUGCCUCCAUCAGAGUCAUCUUAGCUUUAGUUGCCAUUCAAGACAUGUACCUGGAGCAUAUGGAUGUUAAAACAGCCUUCCUGCAUGGUGAAUUACAAGAAGAAAUUGUAAUGGAACAGCCUGGGGGGUAUGUGGUGUCUAGUAAGGAAAAUCAUGUGUGCUUACUAAAGAAAUAUUUAUAUGGAUUAAAGCAGUCUCCUAGGCAAUGGUACUUGAAGUUUGAUAGUUUUAUGACAAAACAUGCCUACAAGAAAUGCAAUUAUGAUUGUUGCGUGUACUUUAGGGACAUUGGUGAUGGAAAGAUGAUUUAUCUUAUGCUGUAUAUGGAUGACAUGCUUAUAGCAUGUCACAGCAUAGAUGAAAUCAGUCAUUUAAAGAAUCUCUUGAGCAGUGAAUUCGAUAUGAAAGAUCUUGGAGCUGUAAGGAAGAUCUUAGGUAUGGAAAUUAUCAGAGACAGGAGAAGGAAGCUUAUGUUUUUAACCCAACAGAGCUAUGUUAAGAAGGUGUUGCUUAGAUUUGGGAUGCAUGAAUCCAAGUCUGUUCAAACACCUUUGGCAAAUCACUUCAAGCUGUCUGCUGCACAUUGUCCACAAACUGAUGCAGAGCAAGGAAAAAUGGCAAGGAUACCUUACUCCAGUGCAGUUGGGAGCCUCAUGUAUGCCAUGGUUCUCACUAGACAUGAUAUCUCACAUGCUGUGAGUAUAGUGAGUAGAUUCAUGGCAAAUCCAGGUUAUGAGCAUUGGAGGGCAGUCCAGUGGAUAAUGAGGUACCUGAAAGGCACUAUGGAGUUUGGUCUGCUAUAUGGAGGGUUAAAACAGGAAGGGCACAAGCUGGUGGGGUAUGUUGACUCAGACUUCGCUGGAGAUCUUGAUAAAAGGAGGUCUCAGACAUGUUUUAUAUUCACUUUGGGAGGCUGCACUGUGAACUGGAAAGCUACUCUGCAAAGUGUGGUAGCUUUGUCCACAACUGAAGCCGAAUAUACAGCAGCUGCAGAAGCUUUUAAGGAAGUCAUCUGGUUAAAAGGAAUGGUCUCAGAGUUAGGAGCAAAACAAGAAACAGUUGAAGUAUACUGUGAUAGCCAGAGUGCAAUACAUUUGAGUAAAAACCAGACCCAUCAUGAAGGAACAAAACAUAUUGAUGUAAAGCUUCAUUUUGUAAGACUUGAAGUUUCAAAGGGAACUGUGAAGAUGCUCGAGGUUCACACUGAUCAAAAUCCAACCGAUAUGUUGACUAAAGCUGUGCCUUCUGCCAAGCUCAACUUCUGUUUGAGCUUAGCAGGAAUUUGCAGUUUCUGAUCAGCUGCAAAAGAAAGGGAAUAAAGUAUACAGGAGUAGCUAGAGUUCAGAGUUCACACUGAUUAAAAGGUGCAGGCUUUGUCAUCGUCUACACAUGAUUUGGGAAACACAGAGAGUAGAGAAAAAGAUAGAGAGAGAAAGGGGUUAACAAGUUCUUGUUCUCUGUAAAUCGAUUUCUAUUCUUGUAAAGUUUGUGAUCUCAAUUAGUGAAAGAUUGUUGCUUUGUUUCCAGUGGAUGUAGGCACCACUUCUUGGUGCUGAACCACUUAUGCUUGGUGUCAUAUUGUUUCUUUAAUGCUUUGAUUCUUGCGUGUGAUUGUUGCUGGAUAAUCUGUGCUGUUAAUUCUCAAACCAUUGAUACAGAAUUAAUGUCUUGGGGAGAAUUUGGUUAGUCUUAUCAAAGCCGAAUUCACAACAAAAACUGUAAUGGUAUAUCUUGAAUUAUUGGUAGAAUAGUUCUUUGGAGCAAUAAAAACAGAUAAGACAGAUGAGAAAAUUGUCAAUACCCCACCGCAAAAGCAAAAGAAAACAAGGAAAGGAGACAAAAGAGGAAGAAGAAAAAGAAAAAAGAACGAAGAAAAAAAUGGUGCCGUGCGGUAUAGGCAAGAAGAAAAAAUAAUAAAAAAUAAUAAAAUAAUAGUGCACAACAAUCAUUUGAUUGCUAUAAAUAAAAGGCGUUUCCCUCAUUUUAUUCAUCGAAUUCUUCAGUUCCUUUCAAGCGAUUUAAGAGUCUAGUGAUUUGAGAGUUUGGGUGUAGUAUGAUUUUGGGUAGUGAGCUAAAAUACUACAAUACUUGUAACUCAUUUUUAUUAGUAAAAUAUUUUCCUUCUGACUUCGCCCGUGGACGUAUGCUAAAAGCCGAAUCACGUAAUUUCUGGUGUCCCUAUGUGAUUAUGUGUCUCAUUAUUUCUUAAUUUCACUUUAGUUGCGUGUCUGCGACACCCCUCAAUUUAUUAACAAAAAAUGGCCAAAAUUAUAUAAGUGACCCAAAUUUUUUUGUUAUUUCCAAGAAAUCCCCAAUCUGAAUGGGCUAGACCAGAGGGAGGCAAGUUAGAAAUACAUUUCCUUCAUAGACAAUAACAGUGAUGAGUCGAUGACAUCAAGCCACGUCGGUAUCAAUAUUGAAUUAAAGGUGCAAUUAUUCAGCCAAUGAACCUUACACAUCAAGAUAAAAGUCAAGAAAAUGAAAAUUUAUCCCAAUUAAAACACUUUCUGGCUGCAUUUAGUUGUUUCCAUUAGAAGUUAAAAACAACGUUUCUUUCGUUUUGUGGGCAACUCAACUGAGUUAGCUGGCUUCUAGUGCUAGUAUGUGAAAAUAGAAGGCUAAUGAUUUAUUUAUUAUCUUUUGACAAAAUUAUUAAAGAUAUAAUAGAUUUUCUAUGAUACAAGUGAAAAAUCACAUCAACAUAGCUUUCAAUCUACAGCAGCUAGCGUUUACCAAACACUUUGUUGUAGCUUUUAAGCUAUAGCUGCCCAACCUCAAUCUCAAACGCACCCUUAAUAGGUUGAUUGAAUUUGUGAGAUAUGGAUUCCACAUAUCUCAUGACCUAGUAAUUAUACAAGUGGUUCGUGAUCAAGACACAACAUUUGCUUCCGGCCUAGUGACCCAGCAAUCGCUGCACUGGUCGCCACCUAUGGUGCCGACGAUAUUGCAUGGUCCAAUUGUGGCCUUGAAUGGAAAAAGUUGAGCAAAUUAUUUGUGGACACGAUGAUAAGUAACGCAAGCCUUGAUGCUAGUUAUGGUCAAAGAAAACAAGAGGUUAAGAAUACUAUCAGAGAUAUUCAUAACAACAAAAAGGAAAAAAAAAAGGCAUUUGCAAGCCCAUUGAUAUUGGUGAAUUGUCGAUUUCAACUUUGGCAUGUGUAAUCCAGAACCUGCGCGCUGUGGUAUGGCGCUGGCACGCUUGCAUUAACGAGGGGACAAGUCUUGGGGCUGAGCUAACAUUUAAGCUCGCAGAACUCAUGGUGCUAAUGGGAACACCAAAUAUUUUUUUGACAUAUUUUGGUGCUUUCAUGGUUUAAUUCAAGGUAUAGAAAGGAGUGUUGAGAAUGUCAAAUAAAACGGCAUUGAAUGGAAGUUGUCAAAGACACGAUCCGCACCGAACGGCAACGACACGGUUGCUAAAAAUCCUUCCAUAAUAUGCAUAUCUAAUUUUUUAAAAAGUGUAACCUCUGCAUUUAUAAAUAUACUCAAUGUAUAAUGUUUUACUUAAGAAAUGAAAAACUUGUUUGUUCAAGGAGAAUAAAGAAAAUUUUUCUAUGAUUUUUUUAUGGUUUGAACAAAGAAGGUUUUAAUGAGUAUUAUAGACCUCGAUUGAAUGUUCGAAUGUAUAAUAAAAGAGAAACUGUCACAUAAAUGACAAAGAUACUUGGAAAAAAAAAAAGGGCAGCAAUAGAGAAUUAGAUUCGACUGCACAAAUAACUAGUUAAUUCAUCAAUACAUCAUUUUCUUGCUAGAAAAUGACAAUUAUGACAGCAAGCCACGAUAGUGUCAAUAUUGAAAUUGAUUUGCAAUUAUUCAGCCAAUGUGCCUUACACGUCAAGAUAAAAGUCAAGAAAAUGAAAGUUAAUAUCAAUUAAAACACUUCCUGGGCCGCAUUUAGCUCCAGUUUUUGUGGUAGGAAAACAAAGUUUUGUUUUAAAUUCACAUGGUGUGCACUUCCUAUAUAAAUCUAGAGUUGUGUCCCACGUUGAACAAUAAAGGAAAGUCACCUAAAUAUACAUGUAGGAUAAGUUACUUUAUUUAGUAAGUUUGUAUUUUCUUCUUUCUUCUAGUUUACAUAUAAAUUUGAUUAGAUAACUUAACACAUAUUUUAAUACUUGAUCAGAAGCCCUACGUACAGGUGGAUCUAGAAACUUGAUUUCUAAGAGUAAUACUAUAAUAAAAAAAUAAUGAUUCAUAGAACCAAUAUCAAAAUUUGUUUACAAGAUUACCCCCACUCAAAGGUAAUUUUCAUAGAAAUUAAUAGGAAAUUUAAUUGUUAGUGGGGUCAAAUUGCCCCCACACUCUGAAUGUAGAUCCACGCCCGACCCUGAGUCAAGUAUAUUUUGCCACAUAUACUCUGAAUGUCGGCAGGAAAAAUCUUCCACUUUAGUUUAAAAUUUUCACUUAAAAUUUAUUUACGUUAAUAAAGUUGGUAAAGGAAAUGAGUUUAAUUAAAGAAUAUUAUAGGAGAAAUUCUAUUGUUUGGCUUUUAAUAAAUUAAUUAAUAGGUUUAAAAAGAUUAAUAUACAUCAAAAUAUUAUUAGUUGGUGGUGGUUCCACAUCGGACUAAGACGUGGCACCUUACUUGUGAGAUUAAGACAAUCAGGCUUAGACUAUUUAAAUAUGUUUGAAGCUUAGAUGGCACCGCUUCAAUUUGCAUUAAUGAAUGUCAUUCUUUACCCUAAUUACUACGUAAUUGAUAACAUGCAAUUGAAAUAACUAAUAUUAGCACUUGGCUAUAAAUGAACUAAAGGCCGUGCAAUUGAAUCUUUACUUGAUCACUUCAUUCCUUUAUUUUGCUAACACAGAUUUUGAGAUAUUAAAACGAAAUAAUAAUUGAAUCUGGCUUUGUGGGUCGAUGAUGCCAGCAACAACGAGACCACAAUUAUCACUUGUUUAUUUGCUGUAUUUGACGUUGUUUCAUAUUGGUAGUAAUAACUAAUAAGGUCGUUGUAGAGUUUUUAAUCUUUUUUUUUAUAUUAAUCACGAGGUAUCCUGGGGAGGGCCCCAACUGUGGGAGGCACCUUUAAGCUCGUACCACAACCCAGACUAGAAGUCCCCGCUCGAACCGGGAGGCACAGUUUUUAAUCUUUUUUAUAUUAAAGUUAAGUCAAUUUGUUAUAAAUAAAUAAAAAAUUGGUUGAGUUUAAUUAUAUUGCUAUGUACAUUAAAUAAUUAUAAUAUUCUCGAGGGAAAAAGACACCUAGAACCUCAAGGUUUGGGGAAAUGGUCACAAAAACUCCUAAGUUUUAAAAAAGGAACACUAAAAUCUUUUUUUACCCAUAAUACCCUUUGACUAUAGUAAUUAGAAAAUUGACUUUAAAGGUUUUUAAAUAAUACAAAUUUAAUAUAAAUCAUAUAAUCUAUCUAGUACACUAAUAAUAUUAAAUUAUUUUUUAUAUUUAAAAUAAUGUUAAAAAAUUUAAAUUAUUAUAUUUAUUUUAAUAAUAUAUUUAUAAAAUUAUAAAGAUUUUAAAUAAAUCUUUGGAUUGAAUAUAUUUUACAAUUAAAAGUCUUCCUAUUAAUAAUAUUAAAAUUAAAUUUUAAGUAAUAUAUAUUCAAAAUAUUUUUAAUUUAAUUUUAUUUAUUUUAAUAUUAUGUUUCUAUCUAUUAUUAAAAAUUACUUUAAUAUAAUAAAAUAGGUCUAAUAGAUUGAAAAAUAUGAAAAUAUUUUUAAAAUUUUAAAUUAUUUUGAAAUGUAUAUAUUAUUACAUUUAUUUCAAUGUCAUAUUUCCAUUUAUUAUAAAAUUUUGGGGUUAUUUUUUUGGGAAUUUAUAGAGUCAAAGAGCAUUAUGGUUAAAAAAGAGUCUUGGUGUCCCUUAUUGAAAACUUUAGAGUUUUUGUGACCAUUUUCCUAAAUCUUGGGGGUGUUGAAGUGGCACUUAUUGUAAGAUUGAUUUUAAAAUAUGUAAAAUUAAUUUUAUUACAUUACCAUAUGCUACAUCACCUGAAACUUAAUAAAUGGAACGUAGCAUUACUCCACGUUCACCGUUAUGACCUUAUGACAUUAGAAUUAAAAUCUUUCGUACGUUUAAAUUGUUUACUUCCAAAUUAAUCUUUCGUAAAUAUUUUGUACAGAUCUUAUCGGAGUUAGCGUGUUCAUUACAGUGUUUCUUUUCUUUUAUCCUUUCUUUUGAAACGUAUUUCCUGUGGACAAGGAAAGCAAAUAAUACCCUGCCACCAGGACCUCGCGGCUUGCCUGUAAUCGGAUACCUUCCAUUUCUCGGAAUUACUGACUUACACAAGACAUUCACGGAAUUAGCUGGUCUAUAUGGCCCGAUCUUCAAACUCUGGCUUGGCAACAAAUUGUGUGUAGUGGUUAGCUCGCCUUCAACUAGUUCUAUAAGAAUAUCCCUUUUAAGGGAUUCUCUCUCUGCAAAAUUUUUUUAUCUUCUGGUGCAUAAUAAAAACUUAUGCCACUUCAUUAACCACAGAUAUCUUUUGAGGAAACGAUGUUUCGUUUUCUUUUGUUUUUUCCUUCCUAAUCCUCGCAUAUCGUGUGAAGGCUAAUAUAUCCAAGAAUCUAAAUCUCUGUAAAUCUUUUUCUAUCCAAAUCUACAUAAUAAUUUAAUCCAUGCACAAUAUCUAUAAUUAUAUCGGCUGUCGGCUGAUUUCGUGGAGGGGGCGGCAGUUCAAAUUUUUUACGUGCAUGUUGGAUGGACGUCUCUAUUAAAGGAGAGCCACCACUUGCAUGGUAAUUUUUUUAAAUAAAUAUAUACAUUUCAAAAUAUUAUUUCAUUGUUGUAUAGUUAACAUGUCACCUUAGAUGUAUUUUAGAACUUCUCCUAUUAAAGAUAAUCUCAUGCAGUGAUACUUCUCGUGAUCUAAUCAUUAGUAGAAUCUAUAAUUUCGCUACUGUAAUAAAAUCUGUCCCUACCCUAUAUGAAUGUAGAUAUUUGACGCGAUUUGUAAUUGCUUCCGACAGGAAAACAGCAAUAGUUUAAUUGAAAUUUGUGGUAUGGAUUCCACGAAUCUUAUGACAGAAUACUGACCACUCCAACCCUAUCCACAUUUACACGAUUAAAACACAAGCUUAGAUGUGACAAUGCAUUUGUCACUUUUGUUCAAAUUCAUCCUGAAACACUAUACACUAAAUAAUCGAAUAUGGCUUCGUGGGUCGAUGAUGCUAGCAGCAACGAGACUGCAAUUAUCACUUGUUUUGUUGCUGUACUUGUCGUGGUCUAUUUCGCAUGGAAUGUAAACAAAUCAAGUAAAGCAAAUGCUAAAUUGCCACCAGGAUCUCGGGGCUUGCCAGUAGUCGGAUACCUCCCAUUUCUUGGAACUACUGACUUACACAAGACAUUCACGGAGUUAGCUGGAGUUUAUGGUCCGAUCUUCAAGAUUUGGCUUGGGAAUAAAUUGUGUGUAGUGGUGAGCUCGCCUACCCUAGUUAAACAAGUGGUCCGUGAUCAAGAUAUAACAUUCUCAAACCGCGACCCACCGAUCGCUGGAACUGUGACCACCUACGGUGGCAAUGAUAUUGCACUUUCCAAUUAUGGUCCCGAAUGGAAAAAGUUGCGAAAAUUAUUUGUGAGCAAGAUGAUGAGUAAUGCAACCCUUGAUGCUUGUUAUGCUCUAAGAAAACAAGAGGUUAAAAAUACUAUCAGGGAUUUGUACAACAACAAUAAGGAUAAUAUUGGCAGUGGCAAUGGCAAGCCCAUUGACGUUGGUGAAUUGUCGAUUUCAACUUUGGUACGUGUUAUGCAGAACAUGCUGUGGGGUCAAGCAUUGGAAACAAGAGAGAAAGAGAUUACUAAUCUCGGGGCUAAUCUUGCAGAACUCAUGGUGCUACUGGGAACACCAAAUAUUUCGGAUAUUUUUCCAGUGCUUUCAUUGCUUGACAUGCAAGGUAUAGAGAGAAGAGCUAAGAAGAUUUCUCUAUGGUUUGAAAACAUUAUCAAUUCUGGUGUUGAACAGUAUAGAAACAAGUUUUCUGUUGUUAAAGGUGAAGAAGCUGCAGCAGGAAAAAAUAUUGAACGAUCAAGAAAUAAGGACUUCUUGCAGUUACUGUUGGAGCUUCAGGAAAAUGAAGAUAGUGCUUCAUCUAUUAGCAUGAACCAACUAAAGGCCGUGCUCGUGGUAUGUUAAGCAACUAGACACAAAAAGUUGUAAAAGCACAGUGAUAUAUUUGCGCGAGGCCGCGAGUGAUGUUUUGCCUCGAGAACUCUCAAUUUUAUCUUACGGUAAAAAAUGUUUUUCAACUUUUUUUAAUUAGAAUUUUAUUGCAAUUUAUUUAACAGGACAUAAUUGUGGCCGGAACCGACACCACAACUACGAUGGUGGAAUGGACAAUGGCAGAGUUGAUGCAACAUCCACAAGUAAUGAAGAAAGUUCAAGAAGAAUUAGCUCAAGUUGUGGGCAUGGACAGUUGUGUUGAAGAAUAUCACUUGCCUAAAUUAAAUUAUUUAGAUGCUGUGGUGAAAGAAACAUUUCGUUUGCAUCCUGCGUUGCCCUUAUUGGUACCUCGCACGGCAAGCGAGAACAGCAAUAUUGGUGGCUAUACCAUUCCCAACGACACUAAUUUUAUGUUGAAUGUUUGGGCUAUUCACAGGGAUCCUCAACUUUGGGAUAAUCCCUUAGAUUUUCGACCUGAGAGGUUCUUGAAUGAUGAUAUCAUAAGCAAAUUCAAUUACUCGGGUAACAAUUUUCAGUACUUGCCAUUUGGUUCUGGUAGAAGGAUGUGCGCUGGCAUUCCUCUAGCUGAGAGGAUGUUGAUGCUUGUUCUGGCUUCGUUGUUGCACUUGUUUGAGUGGAAAUUGCCCCCGGGCACAAAGCUAGACUUAGCUGAAAAGUAUGGGAUUGUCAUGCGGAAAAAAGAGCCUCUGAUUGCUAUUCCAACACCAAGGCUACCAAAUUCAGAUCUCUACCAGUAAGAUCAAAAUGGUUGUGAUGAUAUUAUUUCCCAUUGUAUUGGAAUAUUUUUGUGUGAUUUGAAGUUCAAUCAUAAUAAAAUAUUUUAAUAAAAUGUCCUCGGUUGCUAAUUUUUCAAUAGUAUACUCUAUCAUCGUUUCUAACUGUCUUUUAGAGCCAUUUGGUCUAAUUUAUUUUUGAAUUAAAAUCCAUAAAUAUUUAAAUUUUUGAAUCAUAUUAAGAAUUAUCUGGAGUGUAUGGUCUGAUCUUCAAGUUCUGGCUUGUAAACAAAUUAGAGUUCUGAUAUUUGCCCCGGGUCAAACCCCGAAAUUAAAUAAAACGGCGUCGUUUUGUUUUUUUUUUUUUUUUUUUCUUUUUUACUUCUUCCAAACGUUGCCAUUUCACUUGUCAUUUGCAAGUGACUCCAUUGAUCCUUAGUUGAAACAGAGUUACACCGUAAAUCUCUUCCUCUUCGUUUCUUCGUUUCACCAGGGAACGAGACAGAUAAAAUCCAGCCAUUCUUCGACAUAACAAGAUAUCGAUUAGAAUCCAACGACAUAACUAUAAACCAUGACAUUGCGCUUGAUUUUGCGAAAUACCGAUUAAGAACCAGUAACUUUGAAUCCAAUGACCGUUAAGAGUUUGAAAUUGGUUUCAAAUGACUAAUGAGUUAUCAGAUUUCUUUGCGUCUACAUUUUCCUUGAAGGUUUCUCAGCAGCCAAACAAAUACAAAGCAAAUUGCAGAAGAAACACAUUUUGUUCCAAUGAAAAAUGUACGGAAACAUUUUAAAUAUGGAAAAUUACCUCAAAAUGAAGGCUCGCAAGAGAUUCGAGCAACAAAUUAGAUCAAAGGAACCGGCGCUGAGCAAGAAAGUGAGCUCAAAGAUUCCGAAACACAAACGUAAAUUCACAAAAAUGCAAAUCUAUGAUGAACGCCAAGAUCAAAAUUUUCGAAGAAAGGGAGCUGAAAAAAUAAAUGAAACGUCAAACUAGAUGACAAUGGAUUUGCUUCUUCAAAGGAGACAAUGAAAUUGUUACUAGAGACAGCUAGAGAAAUAGAGAGAGAGAGAGAGAGAGCUUGAAUUGGCUGUACCCCCACCAGAAAGUGGGUAGUGCCUUUUCCACUUGGACUUGAUAUGCGAAUCUGAAAAAAUCUGAACGAAGGACUGACUCAUCCCAGCUCGAAAGCAAACCAAGCUAGGACUGACUGAAAACGUUGCCGUUUGGAGAAGUUAAAAAAAAAAACUAAACAAAACGACGCCGUUUUGUUUAGUUUCGGGGUUUGACCCGGAAUUUGACCCGGGGCAAACAUCAUUUUCCAACAAAUUAUGCAUGGUCGUGUACACGCUUUCCCUAAUUAAGCAUGAGGUUCGUGAUCAAGGCACAACAUUCACUCCCUGCGACCCAACAAUCGCUACAUUGUUUGCCACCUAUAGUGCCAACGAUUUUGCACGGUCCAAUUAUGGUCCCCAAUCGAAAACGUUGCGCAAAUGUUUUCUGGGCAAGAUGAUAAGUAACGCAAGCCUUGAUGCUUGUUAUGGUCUAAGAAAACAAGAGGUUAAUAUAUAUAUAUAUAUAUAUAUAUAUAUAUAUAUAUAUAUAUAUAAAUUGGCAUUGUCAACUUUUGUAUGUUUUAUUCAGAACCCGCUGUGGGUUGACGCUAGCAUGCUUGCGUUAGGAGACGAGGGGACCAAUCUUGGGGCUGAGCUAAAAUAUAAGCUUGUAGAGAUCAUCUUGCUAAUGGUAAUGUUUUCCGAUGCUGGUUUAAUUCAUGGUAUAAAAAGGAGAACAAAAAAGAUUUUUCUAUGCUUUGAAAAUAUUAUAAUUUUUAUUUUAUAAUUUUUAAUAAAAUCUCUCAUUGAUAGCCAAACAAUUAAAAUUUUUGUAAAGCUUUUGUGGACUUUUGAUCGCGUAUGGUGCCAAUGUAUUGCGUGGUCCUAUUAUGGUUCCAAAUGGAGAAAGUUGCACAAGUUUUUUGAGUACCAGAAGAUCAGUAAUGUAAGCCUUGAUGGUUGUUAUGGUCUAAGAAAACAAGAGGCUAAAAAUUCUAUCUGGGAUUUUUAUAACAACAACAAAAUUGGCAAGCCCAUUGACAUUGGUGAAUUGUCAGUUUCAACCUUGGUAAGUGCGAUUCAGAACAUGCUGUGGGGUGAAACGCUUGAAAUAACAAAGAAAUGGAUUUACUAAUAUUGGGGCUGGGCUAAGAUUUAAGCUUGCAGAACUCACGGUGCUAGAGGGAACACCGAAUAUUUUGGAUAUCUUUCCAGUGCUUUCAUGGUUUAAUAUACAAGGUUUUCAGAGAAUAGCAAAGAAGAUUUCUCUAUGGUUUUAAAAUAUUAUCAAUUCUACUGCUGAACGCUAUAGAAACAACGUCUCUAUUGUCAAAAGUGAAGAAGCAGCAGCAGCAGGGAACAAUAUUGAAGGAAGGAAUAAGGACUUGGUGCAGUUACGCUUGGAGCUUCAAGGUAAAGAAGACAAUGCUUCAUCAAUUAGCAGGACGCAAUUUAAGAGCUUGCUCGUGGUAUGUUGCGCAACUAGCCACAGACAGUUACAGAAACUGAGUUUGGCAGAUUACGACCGUUUCUGGUGAUUACAUAAUUAUUUGUGGCUGUUUUUUUUUUUUAAUUGUAAUUUUCUUAACAGGAUAUAAUUUAGGGUGGAACCAACACCACAACUAUAAUGGUGGAAUGGACAAUGGCAUAAUUGAUACAGCAUCCACAAGUAAUAGAGAAUGUACAGGUAGAACUAAAUCGGGCCGUGGCCAUCGACAGCCAUGUUGAAGAAUUUCACCUAGCUAAGUUAAAAUAUUUAGAUGCUGUGGUGAAAGAAACAUUCUGCACUGUAAUAUAAUACAUGAAUCAUAUGUCCUCUAUUGUUUUUUUAUUUUUCUCUUUUUUUCAAUAGCUUAAUCUAUCAUUAAAAUCUUCUGAAAUUCUAAAUUAAUAUACAUUCAACCUAGAGUUCAAGCCAAAGUUUUAUUGAGCAUUAAAAAAAAAAAAAAUUCUACGACUCAAAAUUUUGUGGAGUAUAAAUUAAAAAUUAUGCGCCUACUAAGAGACAAAAAAUAAAUGAUACACAUUAACCAAUCAAAGGCGAACAAGAGAUUAUUAACAAUAACCUAAUAAUAAAAUUAUAAUGAAUAAAAAAGAAAUGGUACCUAGAAACACAUCACAGCCAUUUAAGCAAUCACUUACCCACAAAAUCCAAACAUAUAAACUAUGUGGGGGGGGGGGGGGGGGGGGGGGGUGUCAUGAUACCUUUGGGUUUCAUGAUAAUCAAAAUUGCAAUACCAUUAAAGACUCAAAAAUAAAAAAAAUCAUAGCCAAUAAAAGAGAAAAAAUAACCCACAAAAAAUCAUCAAGAAAAUAAAUUUGAGACUAAGAGAAGAUAUUAAUUAAACCCUGGGUUGCCUUGGAACCACGGCUUUGGCUUCCAUUUUUCAAUUCUUGGCGACAAGUCAUUUCUUGUUUGUUUACAAAGAUGACGGCUGAUUAAUGAAGCUCUAUUAACAAUGAAUAAAUAAAAAAACUGGCGCCUUGAAAAGACUAACGGUCAUAUUUUUCAACUCCGAAUUAGUGCCGUUUGAUGAGUCCUUGCCAAAACAAUCACUAGGCAAAUAACAAUCAUUUUUCAACCAGCAAAACUCAUUCAUUGUAUUUCACCUUAGUCAAGAUUUAAAAAUUGUUUCAAAAUAAACCUAGUGGUUAGAACCCAAGCGUCACAAUUGUGAGGUCAUGGGUUUGAGCCCCCACAACGUAUUGUGGGGGUUAAUUUUCUUCUUCAAUUUGAGUGAAAACAGUUCUCUCCCUUUCGAAAUGUGGGUGGAGUGGACGUCCCUCAAAUAUUAGAGAGGGUUCAAAUUUGGAUUGUACUAUAUAAGAUUUAUAAAUUAGUCCCAGUAAUUAUCUGAUUGUAAAUAUCAAUAUACUAAUCUAAUUAAAUAUGAGUUGUAAUAUGAGCGUUAGUCUCAUGUAAUUAAAAAAAAAAUGUUUCAAAAUAGGAUUCUUAAAAGGUUGGGGAAAUGGCCAUCAAUAUCCCCAACUUUCCAAAAAGAGACACCAAGACCCAUUUUGACCAUAAUACCCUUUACUUCUAUUAUCCCCAAAAAAUUGACUCUAAUGUUUUAUAAUAAAUAAAAAUAUAACAUUAAAAUAAAUGUAAUAGUAUAUACAUUUUAAAAUAGUUUCAAUAUCUAAAAACCAUUUUAAUAUUUUAAAUCCUAUUAUAUAUAUAUUAAAGUAAAUUUUAUAAUAAAUAGAAUCAUAAUAUUGAAAUAAAUGCAUUAAAAUUUAAAUUAUUUUUAAUAUUAUGUAAAAUAAUAAUUUUAUCAUUAUAAGUAUAUGAGAAUUUUUUUAAUUGUAGAAUGUAUUUAAUGCAAAUAUUUAUUUAAAAUCUCUACAAUAAAUAAAAAUAUACUAUUAAAACAAAUCUCUACAAUAUAUACAUACAUACAUAUACAUUGGCCUGGUAUUUUAUUUUUCAUUUUUUAAACUUAUUAAAUCCUCUAACUAUCAUUUGAUUAUUUUUUUCAAUGAUGAAGAGGCCAUUGCCGGAUAAAUUAUUAAAAUCAACUAGUUCUACAAGAAUGUCCCUUUUUAAAGGAAGAUGAUUCUCUCUCUCGAAAUUUUUUAUCUUGUGCUACAAACUAAAAACUUAUGCCAUUUCAUUAACCACAGAGAUCUUUGAGGAAAUGAUGCUUCGCCCCCCCCCCCCCCCCCCCCCCCCCCCCCCCCCCCCCGCGGCGCCAAAAAGUGUCCUUCCAUAUUUUGUGAAGGCUAAUACAUCGAUGAAUCUAGAUUUCUUUAAAUUUUUUGUUUUACUCAAUUCGAGAUAAUAAAUAGUUUAUCUUUAUUAAAUCUUUACUUUAACAAUGAUAGAUAUUCAAUCCAUGCAAAUAUCUAUCAUUGUAUGAGCUGAUUGCGUGGAGGGAGCGGUAAUUGAAAUCUAAUUGAAAACAGCAGAAGGCUGUUCUUGACAGAUCUCAAAUAUAUUACGGACACGUUGGGAGACAUCUCUAUCAUAGAUAUCCCCAUGCAGUGAUAUUUGUCGUGAUCUAAUUUUUAGUAAAUCUGUAAGAGAGAUUGUAACAUCUUUCAAGUUUUUUGGUUUGAUAUUCUAGACGAAAACGGUUUGUCGUUUCUUGAGCAAACGGCUAACCGUUUAAGUCCAGAGAGCAUGUUUGUUGUUCUGGAUAAAACGGCUCACCGUUGUUGCGAAAACGGCUAACCGUUUAACUCAAGAGAGCAUGUUUUAUGUUCUAGAGAAAACGGCUCACCGUUAUUGAGAAAACGGCUAACCGUUUAUUUACAGAGAGCAACGUAUUUGAUAUUCUGGAAUAAAAUGGCUCACCAUUUAUUGAGAAAACGGCUAACUGUUUAUUUCCAGAAAGGCGUCAAUUAGAAAAACGGUUAGCAAGAAUGAAAAUUUCAAUUGACAAUCGAUGCAAAUUCAAACCAAAAGAGUGUCUUCGAAAAAGUACCAUUUCUAAUGGUUGUAUUCUUUCAAAUAAACAUCUUCUUCAUUAAAGAAAUACACACAAUUAGAUUGAUAAUCAGAUUUUGACAGGUUUCUUAUAUGUUCUGGAAAUACAAUCUUAUUUGCUAGAGAUUGUAUUCAGGAUUUGUUAUAUCUUGGGGGUAAUUUGCCAUUAAAACUAUAUAGCAAACCAAGAUUGGUGAGGGCAAAUAAAACCUUAAAGGAAAGUAUGCAAACACGUCUCAAAUCCUAUGAAACUUUCUUUGUUCUUUGCCUCCAUAUUCUUAUUAUUCACUAACAAAAUCCCCAUGCAGUGAUAUUUGUCGUGAUCUAAUUAUUAGAAAAAUCUAUGAUUUCGCUACUGUAAUAAAAUUUGUCACUACUCUACAUUAAUCUAAAUGUCUGAUGAGAUUUGUAAUUGCUUCCGACGGGAAAACAGUUAAUAGGUUGAUUGAAUGUAUGUGGUAAAGAUUCCACGUAUCUCACGACAGAAUGCUGACCACUGGAACCCUAUCUACUUUUACGCGAUUAAUUCACGAGCUUAGGCACGACAAUUGCAAUACAAAUUAUCCCUUCAUCAUAUAUUUCGUUAAAAUUCAUUCUGAAGCACUAAAACUAAACAAUCGAAUAUGGCUUUGAGGGUCGAUGAUGCCAGCAGCAAUGAGAGUGCAAUUAUCACUUGUUUAGUUUCUGUGCUUGCCGUGGCUUAUUUAGCAUGGAAUGUGAAAAAAUCAAGGAAAGCAAAUGCUAAACUGCCACCAGGACCUCGCGGCUUGCCUGUAGUCGGAUACCUCCCAUUUCUCGGGACUACUGACUUGCACAAGAAAUUCACGGAAUUUAUUUUACUAUUAUAUUUAUAUUCAAAAUAAUUUUAAUUAGCUUUUAAAAUGAAUGAUUUUAGGAAAUUAUAAAUAAAGGUAACUAAGAAUUCUCUUAAUGUAAUAUAUUAUUAAUUAGUUUAAAAAUACAAAUUUAUUAAUUAGAGAAAUUAUUAGUGAAUUUAAAUUAAUGAUCUUAAUGAUUUGUUUGUACGAUUGCCCCCAAUCAAAGGUAAUUUUCCUAAAAAUUAUUAGGAAAUUAGAGAAAUUUAAUUUUUUUAGUGGGUUCAAUUGCCCACACACCCCGACUGAAGCAUUUUUUACAAUAUGUACUCCGUUUGUCGGCAGGAAAAUAAAGGUCUUGACACAUGAUCACUUCACUCCUUUAUUUACUUUGCUAACGCAGAUUUUGAGGUAUUAAAACAAAUAAUAAUUGAAUAUGACUUUGUGGGUCGACGACGCCAGCAACGAGGAGACCGCCAAUUAUCACAUUUUAAGUUUGCUGUAAUUGCCGUUGUUUUAUAUUAGUAGAAUAUUAGUGAUAAGAUAAUUGUAGAGUUUUCAUUUUUUUAAUAUUAAAAUCAAGUCAAUUUAUUAUAAUAAAUUUAGUUGAAUUUAAUCGUAUUACCACAUAAAUUGAAUAAUAAUAGAAUUCUCGACAAUAUUUCAAUAUUUUAAUCUCAAGCAUUGGAGUGGCAUUUAUUUGUUAUACGGUCGAUUUUAGAAUUUAUAAAAUUAUUCGUUGCUGAAUUGCACCAUAUGCUGCAUAACCUGAAACUUAAUAAACGGAACGUAGCGUUGGCACCGUUACUCAACAUUCACUGUUACGACUUUGUGACAUUAGAAUUAAAAUCUUUUCCACAUUUAAUUUGUUUACUUCCAACUUAAUAUUUAACAAAAUGUAUGUUAGCAUUGUAUGCCAUAUCAUCUGUAAUUUUGUCAGGAUCGAUCAUUCUAAUUUUUAAGCAGAACUUUUUGUCAAUGGACAAACACCUCAUACAGCUUGUCAGAGGCAUUAGUAUGAUGUAAAAUUGUAAUGGUAUAUCUUGAAUUAUUUUAGAAUAGUGAAUAACUAUUUGGAGCAAUAAAAACAAAUAAGACAGAUGAGAAAAUGGCUAAAAUUAUAUAAGUGACCCAAAAUUUUUUGCUAUUUCCAAGAAAUCCCCAAUCUGAAUGGACCAGAGGGAGGCAAGUUAGAAAUACAUUUCCUUCAUAGACAAUAACAACGAUGAGUGGAUGACAUCAAACCACGUUGGUAUCAAUAUUGAAAUAAAGGUGCAAUUAUUCAGCCAAUGAGCCUUAGUACACAUCAAGAUAUAUAAAAGUCAAGAAAAUGAAAAUUUAUCCCAAUUAAAACUCUUUCUGGCUGCAUUUAGCUGUUUCUGUUUAGGGAUGGCAAUUUAAUCCGGACCCAGCCCGACCCGGAUGAAUCCAGAAAAUUCGGGGUGGAUUCAACCCGUACCGGAGUGAAUAAAAUCUGAUAUUCAAAUUCAAUAUUUUCAACCCGGACGUUUCCGAGUCCGGAUCCGGAUUUGGGUAAACCCGCAUAUCCGGAACCCGGAUCCGGAUAACUAUUUUAAUAUUAAUUUUUAAAUCAUUUUAAAAUAAAAAAAAAUUAGAAAAAAUCAGCCCUAAUGCCCUUCCACAGCCACGGCAGCCAAACCAAACCCAGACAUUUCCUCUCUCUCUCUUUAGCCCUUCUUUUCAACAAAUCAUCAUCGUUGCUCAUCAUCGUUUCGUCGUGUUCAUCUUCAUCUUCAUCAUCAGCUGCCGUUUGUCCAGCUAUGUCACUAGUUUUGGCCGCCGUUUCCGUUUGUGCACCUUCGCAAAUCGGGAUCUCGAUUUGGCCGCCAACACUUCUACCCCCUGGUGUUUUGCUUUGUCCUCGACAACUUCUUUGUUGAUAAAUUGACGGGCACUUAUGAAUGCAUUUGUCUCUGUUUCUUCAUUUACACCUUCCCAGUUGUUUGUUCAUUUGCUUUUUGGAAGGAAAAAAAAAAAAAAUCAGCCACCAUUUAUCCUUCCCCUUUUCUUGACCUAACCCCACAAAGCCCAAUUUGUCAUCAUCAUUCAUUGGCAAAUUUGUUAUCAUCAUGGUUGAGACAUCAUGAUUAUCUUUGAUAAUUGAAUUUGUGUAAUAUGUUACCUUGGAUUUUAUUUCUAAGUAUUUGAUUUUGAAUUAUUUUCCAUUAUUGGUGUUAAUAGAUAGAAGAUUAGAAAGGAAUUCUUCACUGAAUAAAGAGAUGGGAAAUUGCAUCUUUUAGCAAUCAUCCGGGUUAUAAACCCGGAAUCCGGAAACCAGGAUUUUUCCGGGUUUAACCCAGUCCGGACCCGAAUGAAAAAUAUCCGGGUUUACAUCCGGGUCUGGUAUUAAAAUUUAUCGUCCGGAUCCGGAACAGGGAAGACAAAACCCGGACCCGAACCCACAUUUUGCCAUCCCUAUUUCCAUUUGAAGUUAACAACAACGUUUCUUUCGUUUUGUGGGCGACUUGACUGAGCCAGCUGGAUUCUAGUGCUAGUAUGUGAAAAUAGAAGGCUAAUGAUUUCACGUUCACUAGCCCACCUCCCCUCCUCUCGUUUCCUCUGAAUCAAUUUUCACGUGUGGUACCGAUUGAAAAUAUCUCUGACAUUUCGUGGACAUCUCUAUUGAAAAUAUCUCAGACAUUUCACUCAGGCAAACUUAUUAAUAUAAAAAAUCUAUGAUUUUUUCGUCUUAUACUGUAGAAAAAUUUGUCUAUACAUUAAUCUAGAUGUUUGAGGUGGUUUAUACAUCUGUGGUAUAGAUUUAUAGGUUGAUUGAUACGUCUGUGGUAUAGAUUUUAUGUAUUUCAUUAUCAAAUGCUGGCCUUUGGGACCCUAUCUACAUCUAUUUAUAAAACUAACGGGUGCCAGUUAUGCCAUUACAAAUUAUCCCCUCUUCAUACAUUUCCUUAAAAUUCUUCUGAAACACCAAAACUAAAUAAUCGAAUAUGGCUUUGCGGGUCGAUGAUGCCAGCAACAAUGAGGCUGCAAUUAUCACUUGUUUAGUUUCUAUGCUUGCCGUGGUUUAUUUCGUAUGGAAUGUGAACAAAUCAAGGAAAGCAAAUGCUAAACUGCCACCAGGACCUCGCGGUUUGCCUGUAGUCGGAUACCUCCCAUUUCUCGGAACUACUGACUUGCACAAGAAAUUCACGGAAUUAUCCGGAGUUUAUGGUCCGAUCUUCAAGCUCUGGCUCGGAAAUAAAUUAAGUGUCGUGGUGAGCUCACCUUCCCUAGUUAAACAAGUGGUUCGUGAUCAAGAUACAACAUUCGCAGACCGUGACCCGCCGAUCUCAGGACUAGUGACCUCCUUUGGUGGCAAUGAUAUUACAUGGUCCAAUUACGGUCCCGAAUGGAGAAAGUUGCGCAAAUUUUUUGUGGGCAAGAUGAUGAGUAACGCAAGCCUUGAUGCUUGUUAUGCUUUAAGAAAACAUGAGGUUAAAAAUACUAUCAGGGAUUUGUAUAACAACGGCAACAAAAUUGGUAAGCCCAUUGACAUUGGUGAAUUGUCGAUUUCAACAUUGGUAUGUGCUAUGCAGAACAUGCUGUGGGGUGAAGCGCUUGAAUUAAAAGAGAAAGGGACAACUAAUCUUGGGGUUGAGCUAAAAUUUAAGUUUGCAGAACUCAUGGUGCUACUGGGAACACCGAAUAUUUCGGAUAUCUUUCCAAUGCUUUCUUGGCUCGACAUACAAGGUAUAGAGAGGAGAGCAAAGAAGAUUUCACUCUGGUUUGAAAAAAUUAUAAAUUCUACUGUUGAAAAGUAUAGAAGCAAGGACUUUAAUGUUGAAGGUAAAGAAAGAGCAGGGGAAAAUUUUGAAGGAUCAAGGAACAAGAACUUCUUGCAGUUACUAUUGGAGCUUCAAGAAAAUGAAGACGGUUCUUCCUCAAUUAGCAUGAACCAAUUUAAGGCCGUACUCGUGGUAUGUUAAGAAACUAGCCGCAAACAGUUAUACAAGCACAGCUGUAUAUUUUGCAUGAGUGAUAUUUUCAACCUUUUUUUUUUAUAAUUAGAAUUUUAUUGUAACCUUUUGGACAGGAUAUAAUUACGGCUGGAACCGACACCACAACUACGAUGGUGGAAUGGACAAUGGCAGAGUUGAUGCAGCAUCCACAAAUAAUGAAGAAAGUUCAGGAAGAAUUAGCUCAAGUUGUGGGCAUGGACAGUUGUGUUGAAGAAUUUCAUUUGCCUAAAUUGAAAUAUUUAGAUGCUGUGGUGAAAGAAUCGUCUCGUCUGCAUCCUGCAGUGCCUUUAUUACUACCACGCAGAGCAAGCGAGAGUGGCAGCAUUGGUGGCUAUAACAUUCCCAAAGAUACAACUAUUAUGUUGAAUGUUUGGGCAAUCCACAGGGACCCUAAACUUUGGGAUAAUCCCUUAGAAUUUCGACCCGAGAGGUUUCUAGAUGAUGGUAUCGCGAGUAAGUUCGAUUACUCAGGUAACAAUUUUCAGUACUUGCCAUUUGGUUCUGGUAGAAGGAUGUGUGCUGGGAUUCCUCUAGCUGAGAGGAUGCUGAUGUUUGUUUUGGCUUCGUUAUUGCACUCAUUUGAGUGGGAAUUGCCAGCUGGCACAAAGCUAAACUUAUCUGAAAAAUUUGGGAUUGUCAUUAAGAAAAAAGAGCCUUUAGUUGCUAUUCCAACACCAAGACUAUCCAAUUCAGAGCUCUACCAUUAAGACAGAAUGGUUGUGAUGAUUUUGUUAAUUUCCGAAGAUUUGUAUGUUAUGUCAAGUUCAAUCGUAAUAAAAUAUUUCAAAUAAGAGUCCUCCGUUGCUUUUUUUUUUUUUUUCAACCGCAUAAUCUGUCGUCAUGCUUGUAUUUGGGGCUACUUUGGAAUAAUUAUGUUUGAAUUACAAUAUAUAAAUAUUACAUUUUAAAAUUUUAUGAGAUUCUAAAUUUAUACACGUUCAAUAACCCACUUCAUAUAUGUUUAACACAAUUUAUAUCAUACAUUGUAUACCCAUUUGUCAUAAAUUACGCUAUUUUAUAUCUCUAAAUAAUAUUACAUAUUGAUAUUAUAAAAUGUUGUUAACUCACGUGUGUAUAUAUAUAUAGCAAGUCACGUGCAUAUAUUAUUGGUUGUUAUAUGUUUGCUAGUUUGAUAGGAUUUCCUUUCCUUGUGAACUAGGGUAAUUCUUAUGUACAUAUAAAUAUUGAUCAAUAAGAGUGCAGAUGAUGACUGCAGUUUUGCAUCGUAGAAAUUCUUCGUAAAAUAUAUAUGUUUAUCAAAAGGCUAUACCAUUCAAUAUAUAUUGGAAAGAGAACAAAGAAGAUCUUCUUAUGGUUUGAAAAUAUUAUGAAUUCUGCUGUUGAACAGUAUGGAAACAAGGUCUGUUGUUAAAGGUGAAGAAGUCACAGGGAACAAUAUUGAAGGAAGAAAUUUCACGUUUAGUUGCUGAAUUUGCCGCUGUAUUCUAUCGGUAGUAAAAAGAUUAGAGUUUUUAUUUUUCUCUAUUAAUGUUAAGUCAAUUUUCUAUAACAAAUUCGGUUGAGUUUAAUUGUGUUACAAUAUAAAUUGAAUGAUAGUAGAAUUUUCAACGAAUAAUUCAAUAUUUCUAUCUCGAUUGUUGAAGUGCCAUUUAUUUGUUAUACGAUCGAUUUUAAAAUUUAUAAAAUUAUUUGUUACUAAAUUGCAUCAUAUGCUAAAUCACCUGAAACCUAAUUUCAUAACUAACCCUUUAUUUUUAGUUCUCAAGAAAUCUUGUAAGAACAAAAUUCUUUUGUAACAAAACGUUUACAACAAAUUAAUUUGUAACUCAUUCCUGUGCGAGAAUCACUCUCAAUUUCCUUCAAUUGCUGUUUAACAAUCAUCUGCUUAUCAAAAUUCAAGCAUAAUCUUUUUUUUUAAUUUCUUCAUCAUUCUUUUGAAAAAAAAAAUCAGGAUAUGCUGUUAAAUUUUGAAAUAAAUUAUCUCAAAAUAAUUACUAACCAGAAAAAACAAAGGGGUUUAACUAGGUUAUGCAUACCUUUGAAAAUUAUAUGUUGAUCGAUAAGAAUGAUGAUCACGAUUGACGAGUUUAAUUAAAAUAUAUAAGAUUUUAAAAUUAAUCAGGGUUAAAUUGUGAAUUUUAGAAAGAGAGGUUUUGUGAGAAUGUUGAAAGGGUGUUAAUAGUUCCACUCUUUUUAAAAACAACCAUAGUCAUCAUUUUUCCAUGGUUGUUUUUAAAAAGAGUAUUUCUUCUUCCCAUCUCCAUCUUAUUUAGAAAUUUCCCAGAGCCUUUGUUUCCCACCUUUCAUUUUUCUUCUUUCUAAUUUAAUAAUCCACCCUUCUUGUAUUCAAACUAAAAAAUUAAAAUCUGAAAAUUUAAAACCCAAUAUUAUAGUAUUAUAAAAAUAAUUACUCACAUUUUAUCAAACACCUCCAUUCUUCCAAGGCCUUGUUUUAGUAGUAGGCUUUUAUUAUCUCAAUAAAAUUGAAAAAAAAAAUCUCAAUAAUAUUGGAAAAAAACCCUACCCAUAUUUGUAACUUUAAUUUAUUAUUCUCCAUAGACCUACUUUUUAGUUUUGAAUUUUGUUGGAGCCAUAUAUAAACAGAAUAUGUUGAAAUCAGCACCCAAAAAAAAAAAAACUAAUUAUAUAAUUUAUGUUCCCAAGGACAUGGCUGAGUGAUUUUCAAGAAGUUUUGUUUGGCUGGCCACUUAGGUUUAAAUCUUGGUGGAGAUUAAGGGUUAAGAAAUAAAUUUAGACUUUGCACACCCCUUUAACUUUUAAAAAGAAAUGAAAAAAUUAAUUAAUUAAUCUUUAUUUUAUUUAUUAAAUGUCAUAAUCCUAUGCGUAUUUUAUUUGUUAUCUUUCUAUUUAAAAGACGAGGGCAGAUAAAACUGAAAUAAAUUUUUAGCCCUAUCUCCAUAUUUCAAGUUCCAUAGUUAGGUGACCAGCUAAAAAAAAUUAAUUGAAAGCUACUCCAUCAAAUUAAAAAAAUUUAUUUAUUUAAUUUGUGGAGAUGUAGAAAAUCAAACCCCAUACCUUUUCGCAUACACUGAACAUAUUUUAAUACAUGACUAUCAUCCUUUAUCCUAAAUACUACUAUAACUAAUAACAUACAAUUGAAAUAAUUAAUGUUAACACUUGGCUAUAAAUAAAGGUUUUGUGCUUGAAUCUUCACGCAUGACCUUCAUUCCUUUAUUGACUUUGCUAACACAGAUUUUGAGGCAUUAAAACUAAAUAAUAAUUGACUUUGUGGGCCGAGGAUGCCAGCAACAAGGAGACCACAAUUAUCACUUAAGUUACUCUAAUUGCCGUUGUCUUAUAUUCAUAGAAUAUUAGUAAUAAGAUUAUUGCAGAAUUUUUUUAAUAUUAAAAUUAAGUCAAUUUGUUAUAACAAAUUUAGUUGAGUUUAAUCGUGUUACUACAUAAAUUGAAUAAUAAUAGAAUUCUCGACAAAUAUUUCAAUAUUUUUAUCCCAAGCGUUGGAGUGGCAUUUAUUUGUUAUACGAUCGAUUUUAGAACUUAUAAAAUUAUUCGUUACUGAAUUGCACCAUAUGCUGCAUGACCUGAAACUUAAUAAACGGAAUGUAGCGUUGGCACCGUUACUCAACAUACUGUUACGACUUUGUGACAUUAGAAUUAAAAUCUUUUGCACAUUUAAUUUGUUUACUUCAAAAUUAAUAUUUAACAAAAUAUUUUUUUCACAUUAUCAAUGGACAAAACUCCAACGAAAAUAACUACACAAGAAAAAUGUAUGCUAGUAUUGUGUGCCAUAUCAUCUGUAAUUUUGUCAGGAUCGAACACUCUAAUUUUUAAGCAGAACUUUUUAUCAAUGGACAAACACCUCACACAGCUUGUCAGAGGCAUUAUUAUGAUAGAAAACUGUAAUGGUAUAUCUUGAAUUAUUGGUAGAAUAGUUCUUUGGAGCAAUAAAAAUAGAUAAGACAGAUGAGAAAAUUGUCAAUACCCCACCGCAAAAGCAAAAGAAAAAAAGGAAAGGAGACAAAAGAGGAAGAAGAAAAAAAGGAAAGGAGACAAAAGAGGAAGAAGAAAAAGAAAAAAGAACGAAGAAAAAAAUGGUGCCGCGCUGUAUUGGGAAGAAGAAAAAAAUUAAUAAAAUAAUAAUAAAUAAUAAAUAAUAAAUAAUAAAAUAAUAGUGCACAACAAUCAUUUGAUUGCUAUAAAUAAAGGGGCAUUUUCCUCAUUUUAUUCAUCGAAUUCUUCAGUUCCUUUCAAGCGAUUUAAGAGUCUAGUGAUUUGAGAGUUUGGGAGUAUUGUGAUUUUGAGUACUAAGUUAAAAUACUAUAAUACUUGUAACUCAUUUUCACUAGUAAAAUAUUUUUCUUCUGUCUUCGCCCGUAGACGUAGGCUAAAAGCUGAACCACGUAAUUUCUGGUGUCCCUAUGUGAUUAUGUGUCUCAUUAUUUCUCAAUUUUACUUUAGUUACGUGUCUGCUACACCCUUCAAUUUACUAACAAAAAUGGCCAAAAUUAUAUAAGUGACCCAAAUUUUUUUGCUAUUUCCAAGAAAUCCCCAAUCGGAAUAGACCAAACUAGAGGGAGGCAAGUUAGAAAUACGUUUCCUUCAUAAACAAUAACAGCGAUGAGUCGAUGACAUCGAGCCACGUCGGUAUCAAUAUUGAAUUAAAGGUGCAAUUAUUCAGCCAAUGAGCCUUACACAUCAAGAUAAAAGUCAAGAAAAUGAAAAAUUUAUCCUAAUUAAAACACUUUCUGGCUGCAUUUAGCUGUUUCUAUUUGAAGUUAAAAACAACAUUUCUUUCGUUUUGUGGGCAACUCGACUGAGUUCGCUGGCUUCUAGUGCUAGUAUGUGAAAAUAGAAGGCUAAUGAUUUAUUUGUUAUCUUUUGACAAAAAAUGUUAAAGAUAUAAUAGAUUUUCCAUGAUACAAAUGAAAAAUUAUAUCAACAUAACUUCCAAGCUACAGCAGCUAGUGUUUACCAAACACUUUGCUGUAGCUUUUAAGCUACAGCUGCCCAACCUCAAUAGGUUGAUUGAAUUUGUGGGAUAUAGAUUCCACAUAUCUCAUGACCUAUUAAUUAUACAAGUGGUUCUUGAUCAAGAACAACAUUUGCUUCCGACCCAGUAACCCAGCAACUGCUGCACUGGUCGCCACCUAUGGUGCCGACGAUAUUGCAUGGUCCAAUUAUGGCCUUGAAUGGAAAAAGUUGAGCAAAUUAUUUGUGGGCACGAUGAUAAGUAACGCAAGCCUUGAUGCUAGUUAUGGUCGAAGAAAACAAGAGGUUAAGAAUACUAUCAGAGAUAUGCAUAACAACAAAAAGGAAAAAAAAAAAAAAAGGCAUUGGCAAGUCAAUUGAUAUUGCUGAAUUGUCGAUUUCAACUUUGGCAUGUGUAAUUCAGACAUUGCGCGUUGUGGUAUGGCGCUGGCACGCUUGCAUUGCCGAGAGGACAAAUCUUGGGGCUGGGCUAAAAUUUAGGCUUGUAGAACUCAUGGUGCUAAUGGGAACGCCAAAUUUUUUUAACAUAUUUCGGUGCUUUCAUGGUUUAAUUCAAGGUAUAGAAAGGAGUGUUGAGAAUGUCAAAUAAAACGACAUUGAAUGGAAGUUGUCAAAGACAUGAUCCGCACUGAACGGCAAUGACACGGUUGGUAAAGAUUUUUUCAUAAUAUGCGUAUCUAAUUUUUGAAAAAUUGUAACCUCUGCUUCUAUAAAUAUGCUCAAUGUAUAAUGUUUUACUUAAGAAAUGAAAAACUUAAUUCUUUAUGGUAUCAGAGCGAGGCUCGUUGCUCUGUUUGUAACAAAAACAAAGAAAACUAAAUUCUUCCCACAACUAUUUUUCCACCUUUUUUUCUUCCUUAAAAGCAUUCCUAGCAUUACAGAAACCCAUGCCAAUAAAAGAACAAGCCACACAUAUGUAAAAACUUUAGUUUACAAAUCUAUCAACAUCCCCAUAAAUUUUCCCAAAAAGUGAUCUUCAAAAACCAAAAAUACCAUCAAUUUUCGCAUCUUCUAGUAAACAAACUAUAAAAGUUUCGCACUCAAACAGAGCCACACGCGCCUCCACGCGCUUCCCGGAAUCACGGCCAACCACCACGCGCCUCUGUCACCACCAACUCACCCUCAUGCGCUCCAGAUGUUGCAGAAGACGCAAAACGACGUGUCGUUUUCUUCUCUAAAAGUGCAGCAACGUGGAAAUGACUUUUUGUUUUUGCCUUAAAUUGUUUUUCCUCGUUUGAAGCUAUACAACAUUUUUCUUUCUAAACCUGUUUUUUACAAUAAAAAAAGAAAAAAAUGGAGAAAACUCCAACUGAAUCUACUCAUGUUGUCAUUCAAUCUGUUCAACCUGAUGGAGUAUUUAAUGCCGAAAUUAUCCUUACUAAGACAAACUACGAUAUUUGAUCUCAAAUAAUGGAGAUGCAUCUCGCAGAAAGAAAAAAACUCCCAUAUAUUCGUAGCAGCAUAAAUCCAUCUGACAAAUUUUCAAAGAAAUAUGAGAAAUGGUAUAGUGAGAACCAAAAAGUAAAAAGAUGGUUACUCAUAACCAUGUGUCCUGAGAUCAUGAAGCGAUAGUUACAAAUUCCUACAGCCUACGAAAUUUAGAAUGCAUUAUCAAAAGCCUUUUAUAAUGGAAGCGAUGAAAUACAAGUUUUCACUCUAAAUCAGAAGGCGUUCUCUACGAAGCAAAAUGGACAACCACUCUCUAAAUUCUACGGAGAAUUGAUCAAAAUGUUUCAAGAACUUAAUCACCGAGAUAAAGUGGUCAUGAAGGAUCCAGAAGAUGUUAUAAUAUAUAGGAAGUUUGUUGGAAGAUUGAGAGUGCACAUUUUUCUUGCUGGACUAGAUGAAGAAUUUGACCAAGUUUGUGGAGAAAUUCUACGAAAAGAUACUAUCCUAGACUUAAAAGAAUGUUAUUCUCUAAUCCGAAAAGAAGAUGUACGGCAAAGCAAACUAACAAGAAGGUGGACGACUCAGAAACGUCUGCUAUGAUACCACAAGAGAACAAUGUUUUGAAAUUGUUCGAUAUCCUGACUGGUGGGAUACUCGAAGUAAUAACACAAAGCAGAGAUAAAAAACUGCAGUAGCUGAAUCCACAUCCACUACAGAUCUUAGAAAAGAAUCUUCAGCGCAAAUUGCAACCUCUGUCAAUUCAGGUAAGGUCAUUAAAACUCUUACAUUUGUUAUUAAUAGUAUAUGGAUAAUUGAUUAUGGUGCAACUGAUCAUAUGACUUUUGAUUCUUGACAAGUUUCUUAAUUGAAACCAUCUUCACAUAAACAUGUUUCUACUGUAAAUAGAACCACAACCUCAGUUAUUGGGGAAGGAUCUUUACAACUCACAAUUAAAUCAAAUUUAGACUUUGUGUUAAUUGUUCCAUCUUUAAAUUAUAAUCUUUUAUAUGUGUCUCAAAUAACCUCUUACUUAUCAUGUGUUGUAAUGUUUUGGCCCGAUCAUUGCAUGUUUAAGGACAUCCAAAUGAAGGAAACGAUUGGUUAUGAUAUUAAAUAAGGCAACUUGUAUUACCUGGAGAUGACAUCAACAAACACUGAAAAGCUAAGCCCCGCAUUAGUAGCAGACAAUUCCAUGAAAAAAAAGGAAAUAAGAAAUUUGGUUAUGGCAUAGACGAUUAGGGCAUGUGUCAUUUGAUUUCUUAAAAAAAUUGUUUCCUAGUUUGUUUCUGAAAUUUGAUAUUUGUAACUUUAAAUAUGAUGUUUGUGAACUUUCAAAUAGCCAUCGAACUACUUUUCCAUUGUCCUUAAAUAAGAAUCCAAUUCCUUUAAUGGUAGUACAUUCUGAUGUAUAGAGACCAUCUAAAGUUUCUACCAUUGGAAGAGCUCGUUGGUUUGUUACAUUUAUUGAUGAUUGUAGCAGAAUGACAUGGAUUUUUUUAUGAAAUUAAAAUCAUAUGAUGGUGACAACUCUAUUUCAGACACAAAUUUGAGUUCUACAUACUGAUAAUGGAGGCGAGUAUAUGAGCACAACAAUUCAACAGUUUUUGAAAUCACAAUGAACUCACCACCAAACCACUUGUGUGGGGACACUCCAACAAAAUGGCGUUGCUAAACAAAAAAAUAGACAUUUACUAGAAGUUGUUCAAGCAUCACUAAUUUAGGCCCGCAUGCCACUAUUUUAUUGGGGAGAAGCAUUGGCAUCCGUAGCAUACUUGAUCAAUCGGACACCUUCAAUCUUCCUUGGAUUCCAAACUUAUUUUCUAGUUCUAAAUGAAGAAUUAUGUCAUCAAAUGUGUCGAAUUUACCCCCACAUAUGUUUGGUUGUGUUGCCUUCGUUCAUUUGCCAUGACAAGAUAAAUUAUCUCCUCGAGCACUACGUUGUGUGUUUGUAGGGUAUGCCUUACAUCAAAAGGGGUACCGAUGCUAUCAUCCUCUAUUAAGAAAAAAUAUACAUCACCAUGGACAUAAUCUUUCAUGAAGAUAUCAUGUAGUACCCAUCGGAGCUUGAAUUUCAGAGGGAGUAUAAUGAAGAGGAAAUUCAUACUCUUACAUAUCUUUCACCUGAAGAAGAUCAAUCCUCCAUUGAGGUAGUAAACGUUCAAGAUACUGGAAAAGAAAACGACAAUGAUUCUCAGGCUGAGACAAGUGAAGACACAUUUAGGGAGCAAAAUAACUCAGACAUAACCACAAUCGAGAACGAGUCCAUGAAGAGCCACAUGAAGAAAUAUCUAACCAAUCAUCUGCAGAGGAUGAUCCUACCACAAAUCCCAGUCUAAUCAGAAGAAUACUUCCCCAGCAUCAAAAUAGAGGUAUCUCUAAACCCACAUAUAAGACUGACCUCUCUAGUAGAGUCAAAUACCCUAUGAGUCAUUUUGUAUCUAACCAUGGCUUAUCAAAAUCAAAUCAGUCAUUUGUGAAUCAAUUAUCUACUGUGUCUAUUCCUAACAGUGUGCAAUAAGCCUUAAAAUAUCGAAAGUGGAAAGGGCUAUGAAUGACGAAAUGAGAUCUCUUUAAAAAAAAUCAAACAUGGGAACUAAUUGAUCUUCCACCAGGAAAGAAACCAGUGGGUUGCCGAUGGAACUAGUUGAUCAUCCACCUCCAUUCUGACAAGCAAUGUUUAUCAGCAAUAACAAAUGACUGAAGCAUUUUAAUGAGGUUAGUAACGAAAAAGAGUUUAAUUAGAGAAUAUUAUAAGAGAAAUUCUAAUUUUUGAUUUUUAAUAAAUUAAAAUAUCUUAAAAUAUUAUUAGUUGGUGGUGGUUUCAUGUCAGAUUAAGACGUGACACCUUACUAAUGAGGUCGAGACAAUUAGCUUAAAUUAUUUCAAUGCAUUUGAAAUUUCCACUAAUGACUAUAAUUCUUUGUCCUAAUUACUAUGAUAAUUAAUAACAUACAAUUGAAAUAGUUAAUAUUAGCACUUGGCAAUAAAUAAUUAAAUUUCAUUAACACUAAAUAAUAAUUGAAUAUGGCUUUGUACAUCGAUGACGCCAGCAACAAGGGGACCGCGAUUAUCACUCUUUAAGUUGCUUUUAAAAUUGAUUUUAGUAGUGAUAUGAUUAUUGUAGUGUUUUUAUUUUUUAUAUUAAAAUUAAGUGAUUUGUUAUAAUAAACUUAGUUGAGUUUAAUGGUAUUACUACAUAAAUUGAAUAGUUAUCAAAUAUUUUAAUAUUUUUAUGGCAAGCGUUGACGUGGCAUUUAUUUGUUGUAUGAUGGAUUUUAAAAUUUAUAAAAUUAUUUGUUAUUAAAUUACCCCCAGAUGCUACAUCACCUGAAACUUAAUAAAGGUAUGAAGACAUGUGUGUGUGGACUGAAAUGAAGAAUAUGGAAAAGUUGAGAGCUGUUGUGCAGAUUGAGUUCAGUUGAUGGGGUCUAUUAGAUAUUGUCUGCUGACGUGGCAUGAAUUCGUUAUAAUCUGUUAUAACGAGUUCAGUAUAUCAGUAUACAAUAGAGCUGAUGGAUGGUGCCUGUUUUAGAGUCUUUUUUAUAUUCAUUUGUUCAUCAUUUUGCGCAAGAUCUGUUCCAUUGUGAUAUGUGUAAAGUCUUAUGUAAACCCACUUAUGAUUGGAUUAGUUCUUGAUUAAUAACAACGAGUAAAUUUUCCUUCAAGUGUGCUGGUCUGUGCCCCUGUUUUUUGUUCUGAUAUUGUUUCUUUGUUCUGGCAUUUCAUUUCGAUUGUGUUCUUGGUGUUUCUACUCAUCAAGAUUUAUGAGUCUUGUUGAGAUUAAAGACUUAAUAGUCUUAACAAGUGGUAUCAGAGCCUGGUGAAUCUCAGCCAUGUCUCUUUCGAAGCAUGAAAUUGAAAAAUUCACCAUUGGUGGUGAUUUCUCGCUUUCGAAAUUAAAAAUGAGGGCUCUCCUUGUGCAUUAGAGGCUUGAAUUUGCUCUGGAAAAAGAUAAUCUAGAGGCUGCUACAAGUUAUGUGACUGAUGAUAAGAAGAGACAAAUCCAAAACCGAGCUCGUAGCACUCUAGUUUUGAGUCUUGGUGACUCAAUCUUGAGAAAGAUUUCUGAAGAGAAGACAACCUUAGGGAUUUGGAACAAGGUAGAAGCUUUGUGUACAAAGAAGUCGCUAGCUCACAGACUAUUCUUGAAGAAAAAGUUAUACACAUUCUCGAUGAGAGAAGGAGUCACAAUUCAAGAUCACAUUGAUACCUUCAACAAGAUCAUUCUUGAUCUUGAAGGGGUGGAAAAUGUGACAAUAAGUGAUGAAGAUAAAGCCUUCUUCUUGUUGAGUUCCUUACCAAAGUCUUAUGAAGGCUUUGUAGAUACAAUGCUUUAUGGCAGAACAACAUUGACUCUUGAAGAUGUUAAAGCAUCUCUAAGUUCAAAAGAGAUUCAGAAGAACAAUGAGAUUGAAACAAAUAAUGGUGAUGGGCUGAUUGCCAGAUCAGAAAAGAAGAAAGAUCAGAAGAAUAAAAAUCAGGGAAAAUGACAUGGAAAGAAUUAAGAAAAUGCAGACAAGAAGAAAAAGAAGAGAAAAUGCUUCUACUGCCGGAAGGAAGGGCAUUACAUCAGGGAUUGUCUUAAAAAGAAAAAAAAAGAAAGUCAAGAGAAGUCAGGGGAUGCAGCUGUAGCCUCUGAUGAUGCCUCUGAUGGAUAUCACAUUGCUGAUUUACUUGUGGCCUCAAAUAGCAAUACUAAAGGUCAGUGGGUCAUAGACUCUGAGUGCUCUUUUCACUUGUGGCCUGAUAAAACCAUAUUUUACAAAUAUGAAGUUGUUGAUGGUGGUAGAGUCUUAAUGGGAAAUAAUAAUGUGUGUAAUCUUGUUGGUAUUGGUUCUGUGAAGAUCAAGAUGUUUGAUGGAACUGUAAGAGCUCUACAUGAGGUGAGGCAUGCUCCUAGGCUAAAGAGAAAUCUAAUCUCUUUAGGCAUGCUAGACAGCUUAGGGUAUUUCUUUAAAUCAGAAAGUGGUGGUUUAGAGAUAAGAAAGGGGACUGAGAUAGUGAUGAAGGGGGUUAAAGAAAAUGGCUUAUAUGUAUUGUAAGGCUCAUCAGUGCUUCUUCAAAAGGGAAUUUCUGCUCUUUUUGAGGAAGAUAUAACCAAGUUAUGACAUCUUAGACUUGGUCAUAUGAGUGUCAAAGGGAUGUAAGAGCUCAGCAAACAAGGGCUACUUGGUGGGGAUAGAAUCCAGCAACUGGAAUUAUGUGAAAAUUGCAUUUUUGGCAAAGCUCACAGGUCCAAGUUUCACAAGGGGGAGCAUAUGUCUAAGCAAGUUUUGGACUAUGCACAUGCUGACCUUUGGGGGCCUGCUCAAGUCCCAUCCUUGAGUGGUGGCAGGUAUUUCAUAUCACUAAUUGAUGAUUACUCAAGGAAGAUGUGGGUCUACAUACUCAAGACCAAAGAUCAAGCCUAGGAAAAAAUUCAAGGUAUAGAAAUCUUUGGUAGAAAAUCAAUUUGGAUUCAAGCUCAAAUGCUUGAGAACUGAUAAUGGUUUGGAAUUUUGUAGCAAAGAAUUUGAGGAAUAUUACAAAAAAACAUGGCAUAAAAAGGCACAAAACAGUCAGGUUCACCCCCCAGCAGAAUGGCUUGGCUGAAAGGAUGAACAUGACCUUGGUAGAUAAGACCAGAUGUAUGUUGAUAAAUUCAAAGCUUCCAAGAAGCUUUUGGGCAGAAGCUGUCAAUACAACAAGUUGUUUGGUUAACAGAAGCCCAUAUUCUGCAAUUGGCUUCAAAACACCAGAAGAAUUGUGGAAGGAAAAACCUGUAAAUUACCAAAAUCUCAGUGUUUUUGGAUGCCCUGCUUAUCUCCACAUCAAUCAAGGCAAGCUGGAAGCUAGGGCCUUGAAAGGAGUCUUUGUUGGAUAUCCUGAUGGGGUUAAGGGAUACAUAAUCUGGUGUAGAGAGUAAGGGAAGUGUAUAGUCAGCAGGGAUGUUGUGUUUCAUGAAUUUGGAUUGCUAAAAGAAAAUGCAGAGAAUGAUACUAGACUACAAAAUGAUUCAAUAAUUAUCAAACAAUCUGGAACUUCCAAGGUUAAGGUGGAGCUGUUUGGAAAUAAAGACAGUAGAAAAGAGGUAGCUGAUUAUGAAGAGAGGACCACAGCUAAAGUUGAGGAACAUGAGUCAUCAGAGUUGCCACAAGCUGACUUGCAGACUUAUCAGUUAGCAAGAGAUAGAGUUAGAAGAGAAGUCAAAGCACUAGUGAGGUAUGGCUAUGCUGACUUAAUUACUUAUGCAUUGUUGUGUGCUGAUGAUGUGGCAAUUGAAGAGCCUGCUAACUUCUCUGAAGUUAUUGAAAGUGUGCAUUGUGAUAAGUGGCUUGAGGCAAUGCAAGAUGAAAUGGGAUCCCUUCAAAGAAAUCAGACCUGGACACUUGUUCCAAAUCUAGGUAAUAAAAAGUUGAUCAGUUGUAAGUGGAUCUUCAAGAAGAAUGAAGGAAUUCCAGAUGUUGAACCUCCCAAAUAUAAAGCAAGGCUAGUGGCUAGGGGGUUUACACAGAGAAAGAGUGUAGAUUUCAAUGAAAAAUUUUCCCCUGUUCUUAAGCACAUUUCAAUAAGAAUUUUAUUAGUCAUGGUAGCCUUACUUGACUUGGAGCUUGAGCAAAUGGAUGUAAAAACAGCAUUCCUUCAUGGUAAUCUUGAAGAACAGAUAUUGAUGGCACAACCUAAAUGUUUUGAGUGCAAAGGAAAUGAGGAUUAUGUUUGUUUGCUGCAUAAGUCCUUGUAUGGACUCAAGCAAUCCCCACGACAGUGGUACAUAAGAUUUGAUGAUUUUAUGGUCUCAAAAGGCUAUCACAUAAGCAAAUAUGACAGUUGUGUUUACUUUGGUGGAUCAUAUCAAGGUGGAGUUGCUUAUUUGCUUCUGUAUGUUGAAGAUAUGUUAAUUGCAAGAAAAUAUAAGUUGGAGAUAGAGAGGUUGAAGAAAUGAAGGAUCUCGGCAAUGCCAAAAGAAUCCUUGGGAUGAACAUUACAAGGGGCAGAUCUGCUGACACUUUGUUCUUGAGUCAUGAGAAAUAUAUCAAGAAGGUUCUGGAGAGGUUUGAGAUGCAAGACUAUAAACCUGUCCAAACACCACUUGGUCCCCAAUUCAAGUUGACAGCAGCUCAAUCAUCAGAAGAUGAGUCUCAGGUGAGUGAAUUCCCAUAUGCACAGGUUGUAGGGAGCCUGAUGUAUGUAAUGGUAUGCACCAGGUCAGAUAUAGCUUAUGCAGUAAGUGUUGUCAGCAAAUUUCUCAGUUGUCUAGGCAAGGUUCACUGGAAUGUUGUAAAAUGGAUAAUGAGAUAUCUUAAGGGCUCUUUUACUUGUGGUUUGCUGUAUGGGAAGACUAAGAGUGACAUAAGUGAAGUCCUGGGGUUUGUAGACUCUGACUUUGCUGGAGAUCUUGAUAGAAUGAAGUCAACCUCAGGGUAUAUGUUUGUGUUAAACAGUUGCCUGAUUAGCUGGAAGUCAUCACUUCAGUCUGUGGUUGCUUUAUCCUCAACUGAAGCUGAGUUUGUUGCAACUACAGAGGCAGUAAAAGAGGCCAUGUGGCUAAGAGGUUUGCUUAAUGAGUUAUGGUUAAAUCAGAAAAUUGUUCAGGUUUUCUGUGAUAACCAAAGUGUCAUACACCUGGUAAAGAAUCAGAUGUAUCAUGAAAGAACCAAGCACAUUGAUGUGAAGCUCCAGUUUAUCAGAGAUGAGGUUGGAAAAGGAACUAUAAUUGUGUCCAAGAUCUAUACCAGUGUGAAUCCAACUGAUGUUAUUACAAAAGCACUUCCCACUGCAAAAUUUGAAUUCUAUGUGAAUCUAAUGGGCAUCUCGCCCAAACCUAACUAAAUUCAAUAGUGAAUUGUAGUUGAAUGAAGGUUUUUUAGGUGCUGUGUUAUUGAAAGGAUCAACUGAAUCAACUGCAAGGUGGAGAAUGUGAAGAUGUGUGUGUGGACUGAAAUGAAGAAUAUGAAAAAGUUGAGAGCUGUUGUGCAGAUUGACUUCAGUUGAUGGGGUCUAUUAGAUAUUGUCUGCUGACGUGGUAUGAAUUCGUUAUAAUCUGUUAUAACGAGUUCAAUAUAUCAGUAUAUAAUGGAGCUGAUGGAUGGUGCCUGUUUUAGAGUCUUUUUCGUAUUCAUUUGUUCAUCAUUUUGCACAAGAUUUGUUCCAUUGUGAUCUGUGUAAAGUCUUCUGUAAAUCCACUCAUGAUUGGAUUAGUUCUUGAUCAAUAACGAGUAAAUUUUCCUUCAAGUGUGCUGGUCUGUGCCCCUGUUUUUGGUUCUAAUAUUGUUUCUUUGUUUUGGCAUUUCAUUUCGAUUGUGUGCUUGGUGUUUCUACUCAUCAAGAUUUGUGAGUCUUGUUGAGAUUAAAGGCUUAAUAGUCUUAACAAAAGGGAAUGUAGCAUUGCCAUUAAUCAACAUUCACUCUUAUGACUUUAUGACAUUAGAAUUAAAAUCUUUCGUACAUUUAAUUUAUUUGCUUCCAAAUUAAUCUUUAAUAAAUAUUUUUUCACAUUAUCAUCAAUGGACAAAACUCCAACGAAAAUAACUACACGAGAACAAUUUAUGCUAGUAUUAAAUGCCACGAUAUCUAUAACUUUGUCUGGAUCGAUCAUUCUAAUUUUUUCGCAGAACUUUUUGUCAAUGGACAAACACCUCACAGAGCUUGUCAGCCGCAUUAUUACGAUGUAAAAUUGUACCGGAAUAUCUUGAAUUAUUAGUAGAAUAAUGAAGACUAUUUGGGGCAAUAAAAACAAAUAACGCAGAUAAAAAAAUGGCUAAAAUUAUGUAAGUGAGCCCCAAAGUUUUUGCUAUUUCCAGGAAAUCCCAAAUUUGAAUGGACUAGAGGGAGGCACGUAAGAAAUACAUUUUCUUCCUAGACAAUGACAGCUAUGACAUCAAGCCACGGUGGCGUCAGUAUUGAAAUUAAGGUGUAAUUAUUCAGCCAAUGAGCCUUACACAUCAAGAUAAAAGUCAAGAUAAUGAAAAUUUGGCUGUUUCCAUUUGAAGUUAAAAGCAACGUUUCUUUCGUUUUGUGGGCGACUCGACUGAGCACGCCCCAAUAGCUAUAUUUAGGGCGUCAAUUUGAUAUUUGAAUGGACAGGCAAGUAAGAAAUACAUUUCCUUCAUAGACAAUGACAACGAGGACAUCAAGCCACAUCAUUAUAGUUUGUAGCCCAUCUACAUUUAAACGAUUAAUAAACAAGCUUAGGUGUGCCACUGCUAUUAUUAAUUAUCCCCUGAUCAUUAUAGUUUCUGAAACAGUAAAACUAAACGAAAUUGAAUACAUCAACGAGACCGCAAUUAUCACUUGUUUAGUUGCGGUAUUUAACUUAAUUUUAAUAUAAUAUAUUUGUUAGUUAAACUUUUAAUAAUCAAAUAAUUUUGAUUUAAAAAUAAAAUUAUAGAAAUUAUUAAUUAUUAAUUAUUAAAAAUUCACAAUUAAGGGAACGUUCAUCAAACACACAUAGCUAUUGUUUUCUCUAUAUAUUGCAGUGUGUACGAUAUUGAGGGUUGAAGCCCCAAGCAUGCUCUAAAAUCCAGAUAAUAAUUAGAUCCGGGCCAAAUAUUCAUCAUUGUGUCAGCUGAUCAGUCGGUGGACAUCUCUAUUGAAAAUAUCUCUGACAUUUCACUCGACAAACUUAUUAAUAUAAAAAAUCUGUGGUUUUGCCGUCUGAAUAAUGUAGAAAAAUUUGUCUAUGCAUUAAUCUAGAUGUUUGAGGUGAUUUAUACAUCUGUGGUAAAGAUUUAUAGGUUGACUUAGACGUCUGUGGUAUAGAUUUUAUGUAUUUCAUUACAAAAUGCUGGCCGUUAGAACCCUUUCUACAUCUAUUUAUAAGAUUAACGGGUGCCAGCUAUGCCAUUACAAAUUAUCCCCUCAUCAGAUAUUUCGUUAAAAUUCAUUCUGAAACACUAAAACUAAAUAAUCGAAUAUGGCUUUGCGGGUCGAUGAUGCCAGCAGCAAUGAGACUGCAAUUAUCACUUGUUUAGUUUCUGUGCUGGCCGUGGUUUACUUCGCAUGGAAUGUGAAAAAAUCAAGGAAAGCAAAUGCUACACUGCCACCAGGACCUCGCGGCUUGCCUGUAUUCGGAUACCUCCCAUUUCUUGGAACUACUGACUUGCACAAGAAAUUCACGGAAUUAUCCGGAGUUUAUGGUCCGAUCUUCAAGCUUUGGCUUGGAAAUAAAUUAUGUGUAGUGGUGAGCUCACCUUCCCUAAUUAGACAAGUGGUUCGUGAUCAAGAUACAACAUUCGCGAACCGUGACCCACCGAAGGCUGCACUAGUGGUCUCCUAUGGUGGCAAUGAUAUUGCAUGGUCCAAUUACGGUCCCGAAUGGAGAAAGUUGCGCAAAUUUUUUGUGGGCAAGAUGAUGAAUAACGCAAGCCUUGAUGCUUGUUAUGCUCUAAGAAGACAAGAGGUUAAAAAUACUAUCAGGGAUUUGUAUAACAACGACAACAAAAUUGGCAAGCCCAUUGACAUUGGUGAAUUGUCGUUUUCAACAUUGGUAUGUGCUAUACAGAACAUGCUGUGGGGUGAAGCGCUUGAAUUAAAAGAGAAAGGGACCACUAAUCUUAGGGCUGGGCUAAAAUUUAAGCUGGCAGAACUCAUGGUGCUUGCGGGAACACCGAAUAUUUCGGAUGUCUUUCCAAUGCUUUCAUGGCUUGACAUACAAGGUAUAGAGAGGAGAGCAAAGAAGAUUUCACUCUGGCUUGAUAAUGUUAUAAAUUCUACUGUUGAACAGCAUAGAAACAAGGAGUUAACUGUUGAAGGUGAAGAAAGAGCGGGGAAAAAUUUUGAAGGAUCAAGGAACAAGAACUUCUUGCAGUUACUAUUGGAGCUUCAAGAAAAUGAUGACAGUGCUUCCUCAAUUAGCAUGAACCAAUUCAAGGCCGUACUCGCGGUAUGUUAAGCAACUAGCCACGAACAGUUAUACAAGCACAAUUGUAUAUUUGCAUGAGUGAUAUUUUCAACCUUUUUUUUUAAUUAGAAUUUUAUUGUCACCUUUUGGACAGGAUAUAAUUACGGCUGGAACCGACACCACAACUACGAUGGUGGAAUGGACAAUGGCAGAGUUGAUGCAGCAUCCACAAGUAAUGAAGAAAGUUCAGGAAGAAUUAGCUCAAGUUGUGGGCAUGGACAGUUGUGUUGAAGAAUUUCACCUGUCUAGAUUAAUGUAUUUAGAUGCUGUGGUGAAGGAAACAUUUCGUCUGCAUCCUGCAGUGCCUUUAUUACUACCACGUAGGGCAAGCGAGAGUGGCAACAUUGGUGGCUAUACCAUUCCCAAAGAUACAACUCUUAUGUUGAAUGUUUGGGCUAUCCACAGGGACCCUCACCUUUGGGAUAAUCCCUUAGAAUUUCGACCCGAGAGGUUUCUGAAUGUUGGUAUCGAGAGUAAGUUCGAUUACUCAGGUAACAAUUUUCAGUACUUGCCAUUUGGUUCUGGUAGAAGGAUGUGUGCUGGGAUUCCUCUAGCUGAGAGGAUGCUGAUGUUUGUUUUGGCUUCGUUAUUGCACUCAUUCGAGUGGGAAUUGCCAACUGGCACAAAGCUAAACUUAUCAGAAAAAUUUGGGAUUGUCAUUAAGAAAAAAGAGCCUUUGGUUGCUAUUCCAACACCAAGACUAUCCAAUUCAGAGCUCUACCAUUAAGACCAAAUGGUUGUGAUGAUUUUGUUAAUUUCCGAAGAUUUGUAUGUUAUUUCAAGUUCAAUCGUAGUAAAAUAUUUCAAAUAAGAGUCCUCCGUUGCUUUUUUUUUUUUUUUUCAACGGCAUAAUCUGUGGUCAUGCUUGUAUUUGGAGCCACUUUAGAAAAAUUAUGUUUGAAUUACAAUUUAUAAAUAUUACAUUUUAAAAUAUUAUGAGGCUAAAUUUAUACACGUUCAAUAACCCGCUUCAUAUAUAUUUAACACAAUUUAUAUCAUACAUUGUACACCCAUUUAUCAUAAAUUACACUAUUUUGUAUCUCUAAAUAAUAUUACGUAUUGAUAUUAUAAAAUAUAUAUGGAAAAGAGAACAAAGAAGAUUUCUUAUGGUUUGAAAAUAUUAUGAAUUCUGCUGUUGAACAGUAUGGAAACAAGGUCUCUGUUGUUAAAGGUGAAGAAGCAACAGGGAACAAUAUUGAAGGAAGAAAUUUCACAUGUUUAGUUGCUGAAUUUGCCGCUGUAUUCUAUCGGUAGUAAAAAAAUUAGAGUUUUUAUUUUUCUCUAUUAAUGUUAAGUCAAUUUUCUAUAACAAAUUCGGUUGAGUUUAAUUGUGUUACAAUAUAAAUUGAAUGAUAAUAGAAUUUUCAACGAAUAUUUCAAUAUUUCUAUCUCGAUUGUUGAAGUGCCAUUUAUUUGUUAUGCGAUCGAUUUUAAAAUUUAUAAAAAUUAUUUGUUACUAAAUUGCAUCAUAUGCUAAAAUCACCUGAAACCUAAUUCCAUAACUAACCCUUUAUUUUUAGUUCUCAAGAAAUCUUGUAAGAACAAAAUUCUUUUAUAACAAAACUUUUACAACACAUUAAUUUGUAACUCAUUCCUGUGCGAGAAUCACUCUCAAAUUCCUUCAAUUGCUGUUGAACAAUCAUCUGCUUAUCAAAAUUCAAGCAUAAUCUUUUCUUUUUUUUAAUUUCUUCAUCAUUCUUUUGAAAAAAAAAAAUCAGGAUAUGCUGUUAAAAUUUUGAAAUAAAUUAUCUCAAAAUAAUUACUAACCAGAAAAAACAAAGGGGUUUAACUAGGUUAUGCAUACCUUUGAAAAUUAUAUGUUGAUCGAUAAGAAUGAUGAUCACGAUUGAGGAGUUUAAUUAAAAUAUAUAAGAUUUUAAAAUUAAUCAGGGUUAAAUUGUGAAUUUUAGAAAGAGAGGUUUUGUGAGAAUGCUGAAAGGGUGUUAAUAGUUCCACUCUUUUUAAAAGCAACCAUAGUCAUCAUUUUUCCCGAUUUCUUCUUCCCAUCUCCAUCUUAUUUAGAAAUUUCCCAGAGCCUUUGUUUCCCACCUUUCAUUGUUCUUCUUUCUAAUUUAAUACUAUAGGAUUACAAAAAUAAUUACUCACAUUUUAUCAAACACCUCCAUUCUACCAAGGCCUUGUUUUAGUAGUAGGCUUUUAUUAUCUCAAUAAAAUUGAAAAAACAAAUCUCAAUAAUAUUGGAAAAAAAAAACCUACCCAUAUUUGUAACUUUAAUUUAUUAUUCUCCAUAGACCUACUUUUUAGCUUUGAAUUUUGUUGGAGCCAUAUAUAAACAGAAUAUGUUGAAUCAGCACCAAAAAAAAAAAAAAAAAACUAAUUAUAUAAUUUCUGUUCCCAAGGACAUGACUGAUUGAUUUUCAAGAAGUUUUGUUUGGCUGGCUACUUAGGUUUAAAUCUUGGUGGAGAUUAGGGGUUAAGAAAUAAAUUUGGACUUUGCACACCCCUUUAACUUUUAAAAAGAAAUGAAAAAAACUAAUUAAUUAAUCUUUAUUUUAUUUAUUAAAUAUCAUAAUCCUAUGCGUAUUUUAUUUGUUAUCUUUCUAUUUAAAAGACAGGAGGGCAGAUAAAACUGAAAUAAAUUUUUAGCCCUAUCUCCAUCUUUCAAGUUCCAUAGUUAGGUGACCAGGUAAAGAAAAUUAAUUGAAAGCUACUCCAUCAAAUUAAAAAAUUUUAUUUAUUUAAUUUGUGGAGAUGUAGAAAAUCAAACCCCAUGCCUUUUCGCGUGGAAAAGUGUCAACCUGGUCUAGCUAUGUUGCAAAAGUGAACAUAUUUUAAUACAUGACUAUCAUCCUUUAUCCUAAAUACUACUAUAACUAAUAACAUACAAUUGAAAUAAUUAAUGUUAACACUUGGCUAUAAAUAAAGGUUUUGUGCUUGAAUCUUCACGCAUGACCUUCAUUCCUUUAUUUACUUUGCUAACACAGAUUUUGAGGCAUUAAAACUAAAUAAUAAUUGACUUUGUGGGCCGAGGAUGCCAGCAACAAGGAGACCACAAUUAUCACUUGUUAAGUUACUCUAAUUGCCGUUGUCUUAUAUUCAUAGAAUAUUAGUAAUAAGAUUAUUGUAGAAUUUUUUUAUAUUAAAAUUAAGUCAAUUUGUUAUAACAAAUUUAGUUGAGUUUAAUCGUGUUACCACAUAAAUUGAAUAAUAAUAAAAUUCUCGACAAAUAUUUCAAUAUUUUUAUCCCAAGCGUUGGAGUGGCAUUUAUUUGUUAUACGAUCAAUUUUAGAAUUUAUAAAAUUAUUCGUUACUGAAUUGCACCAUAUGCUGCAUGACCUGAAACUUAAUAAACGGAACGUAGCGUUGGCACCGUUACUCAACAUACUGUUACGACUUUGUGACAUUAGAAUUAAAAUCUUUUGCACAUUUAAUUUGUUUACUUCCAAAUUAAUAUUUAACAAAAUAUUUUUUCACAUUAUCAAUGGACAAAACUCCAACGAAAAUAACUACACAAGAAAAAUGUAUGCUAGUAUUGUGUGCCAUAUCAUCUGUAAUUUUGUCAGGAUCGAUCAUUCUAAUUUUUAAGCAGAACUUUUUAUCAAUGGACAAACACCUCACACAGCUUGUCAGAGGCAUUAUUAUGAUGGAAAACUGUAAUGGUAUAUCUUGAAUUAUUGGUAGAAUAGUUCUUUGGAGCAAUAAAAACAGAUAAGACAGAUGAGAAAAUUGUCAAUACCCCACCGCAAAAGCAAAAGAAAAAAAGGAAAGGAGACAAAAGAGGAAGAAGAAAAAGAAAAAAGAACGAAGAAAAAAAUGGUGCCGCGCGGUAUAGGCAAGAAGAAAAAAUAAUAAUAAAAUAAUAAAAUAAUAGUGCACAACAGUCAUUUGAUUGCUAUAAAUAAAGGGGCAUUUCCCUCAUUUUAUUCAUCGAAUUCUUCAGUUCCUAAGCGAUUUAAGAGUCUAGUGAUUUGAGAGUUUGGGUAUAGUAUAGUUUUGAGUAGUGAGUUAAAAUAUUACAAUACUUAUAACUUAUUUUUACUAAUAAAAUAUUUUUCUUCUAUCUUCACCCGUGGACGUAGGGUCAAAGCCGAAUCACAUAAUUUUUAGUAUCCCUAUGUGAUUAUGUAUCUCAUUAUUUUUCAAUUUUACUUUAGUUACGUGUCUGCUACAUCCUUCAAUUUACUAACAAAAAUGGCCAAAAUUAUAUAAGUGACCCAAAUUUUUUUGCUAUUUCCAAGAAAUCUCCAAUCUGAAUGGGCCAGACCAGAGGGAGGCAAGUUAGAAAUACGUUUCCUUCAUAGACAAUAACAGCGAUGAGUCGAUGACAUCGAGCCACGUCGGUAUCAAUAUUGAAUUAAAGGUGCAAUUAUUCAGCCAAUGAGCCUUACACAUCAAGAUAAAAGUCAAGAAAAUGAAUAUUUAUCCUAAUUAAAACACUUUCUGGCUGCAUUUAGUUGUUUCCAUUUGAAGUUAAAAGCAACGUUUCUUUCGUUUUGUGGGCAACUCGACUCAGUUAGCUGGCUUCUAGUGCUAGUAAGUGAAAAUAGAAGGCUAAUGAUUUAUUUGUUAUCUUUUGAUAAAAUUAUUAAAGAUAUAAUAGAUUUUUCAUGAUACAAAUAAAAAAUCACAUCAACAUAGCUUCCAAAGUACAACAGCUAAUGUUUACCAAACACUUUGUUGUAGCUUUUAAGCUACAGCUGCCCAACUUUAAUUUCAAAUGCACCCUUAAUAGGUUGAUUGAAUUUGUGGGAUAUAGAUUCCACAUAUCGUAUGACCUAGUAACUAUACAAGUGGUUCGUGAUCAAGACACAACAUUUGCUUCCGGCCCGGUGACCCAGCAAUCGCUGCAUUGGUCGCCACCUAUGGUGCCAACGAUAUUGCAUGGUCCAAUUGUGGCCUUGAAUGGAAAAAGUUGAGCAAAUUAUUUGUGGACACGAUGAUAAGUAACGCAAGCCUUGAUGCUAGUUAUGGUCCAAGAAAACAAGAGAUAUGCAUAACAACAAAAAGGAAAAAAAAAAAAAAAAAAAAAAAGGCAUUUGCAAGCCCAUUGAUAUUGGUGAAUUGUCGAUUUCAACUUUGGCAUGUGUAAUCCAGAGCCUGCGCGCUGUGGUGUGGCGCUGGCACGCUUGCAUUGACGAGGGGACAAGUCUUGGGGCUGAGCUAACAUUUAAGCUCGCAGAACUCAUGGUGCUAAUGGGAACACCAAAUAUUUUUUGACAUAUUUUGGUGCUUUCAUGGUUUAAUUCAAGGUAUAGAAAGGAGUGUUGAGAAUGUCAAAUAAAACGGUAUUGAAUGGAAGUUGUUAAAGACACGAUCCGCACCGAACGACAACAGCACGGUUGCUAAAAAUCCUUCCGUAAUAGGCAUAUCUAAUUUUUGAAAAAGUGUAACCUCUACAUUUAUAAAUAUACUCAAUGUAUAAUGUUUUACUUAAGAAAUGAAAAACUUGUUUGUUCAAGGAGAAUAAAGAAAAAUUUUCUAUGAUUUUUCUAUGGUUUGAACAAAGAAGGUUUUAACGAGUAUUAUAGACCUCGAUUGAAUGUUCGAAUGUAUAAUAAAAGAGAAACUGUCACAUAAAUGACAAAGAUACUUGAAAAAAAAAAAAAAGGGCAGCAAUAGAGAAUUAGAUCCGACUGUACAAAUAACUAGUUAAUUCAUCGAUACAUCAUUUUCUUGCUAGAAAAUGACAAUUAUGACAGCAAGCCACGAUAGUGUCAAUAUUGAAAUUGAUUUGCAAUUAUUCAGCCUAUGAGCCUUACACGUCAAGAUAAAAGUCAAGAAAAUGAAAGUUAAUAUCAAUUAAAACACUUCCAUUUCUAUGUGAAGUUAAAAAACAACGUUUCUUUUGUUUUGUGGGGGAUUCAACUGAGCACGCGCCACUAGCUAGCUGGCUUCUAGUUCUAGCAUAUGAAAACAGAAUUCUAAAGAUUUCACUUUCACCUUUUUUCUUUUUUUGGGGUUUUGAAUCAAAGUCAAGGUCGCACUGAAUAAUAUGUAAAAUUUGAAAAAGAAGAAUUAAUAGAGAACAAAGUUUUGUUUUAAAUUCACAUGGUGUGCAUACAAUUCAACAAACACUUCCUAUAAUAAAUCUGGAGUUGUAUCCCACGUUGAACAAUAAAGGAAAGUCACCUAAAUAUACAUGUAGGAUAAGUUACUUUAUUUAGUAAGUUUGUAUUUUCUUCUUUCUUCUAGUUUACAUAUAAAUUUGAUUAGAUAACUUAACACAUAUUUUAAUACUUGAUCAGAAGCCCGACGUACAGGUGGAUCUAGAAACUUGAUUUCUAAGAGUAAUACUAUAAUAAAAAAAUAAUGAUUCAUAGAACCAAUAUCAAAAUUUGUUUACAAGAUUGCCCCCACUCAAAGGUAAUUUUCAUAGAAAUUAAUAGGAAAUUUAAUUGUUAGUGGGGUCAAAUUGCCCCCACACUCUGAAUGUAGAUCCACGCCCGACCCUGAGUCAAGUAUAUUUUGCCACAUAUACUCUGAAUGUCGGCAGGAAAAAUCUUCCACUUUAGUUAAAAAUUUUCACUUAAAAAAUAUUUAUGUUAAUAAAGUUCGUAAAGGAAAUGAGUUUAAUUAAUGAAUAUUAUAGGAGAAAUUAAAGGAAAUGAGUUUAAUUAAAGAAUAUUAUAGGAGAAAUUCUAUUGUUCGGCUUUUAAUAAAUUAAUUAAUAGGUUUAAAAGAUUAAUAUACAUCAAAAUAUUAUUAGUUGGUGGGGGUUCCACAUCGGACUAAUACGUGUCACCUUACUUGUGAGAUUAAGACAAUCGACUUAGACUAUUUAAAUAUGUUUGAAGCUUAGAUGGCACCGCUUCAAUUUGCAUUACUGAAUGUCAUUCUUUAUCCUAAUUACUACCGUAAUUGAUAACAUGCAAUUGAAGUAACUAAUAUUAGCACUUGGCUAUAAAUGAACUAAAGGCCGUGCAAUUGAAUCUUUACUUGAUCACUUCACUCCUUUAUUUUGCUAACACAGAUUUUGAGAUAUUAAAACGAAAUAAUAAUUGAAUCUGGCUUUGUGGGUCGAUGAUGCUAGCAAAAACGAGACCACAAUUAUCACUUGUUUAUUUGCUGUAUUUGACGUUGUUUCAUAUUGGUAGUAAUAGGGUCAGUUUUUAAUCUUUUUAUAUUAAAGUUAAGUCAAUUUGUUAUCAAAAAAAAAAAUUGGUUGAGUUUAAUUAUAUUGCUAUGUACAUUAAAUAAUUAUAAUAUUCUUGAGGGAAAAAGACACCUAGAACCUCAAGGUUUGGGGAAAUGGUCACAAAGACUCCUAAGUUUUAAAAAAGGAACACUAAGAUCUUUUUUUACCCAUAAUACCCUUUGACUAGAGUAAUUAAAAAAUUGACUUUAAAGGUUUUUAAAUAAUUCUAAUUUAAUAUAAAUCAUAUAAUCUAUCUAGUAAACUAAUAAUAUUAAAUUAUUUUUUAUAUUUAAAAUAAUGUUAAAUUUUAAAUUAUUAUAUUUAUAAAAUUAUAAAGAUUUUAAAUAAAUAUUUGGAUUGAAUAUAUUUUACAAUUAAAAGUCUUCCUAUUAAUAAUAUUAAAAUUUAAUUUUACAAAAUAUAUAUUCAAAAUAUUUUUAAUUUUAAUUUAUUUAUUUUAAUAUUAUGUUUCUACCUAUUAUUAAAAAUUACUUUAAUAUAAUAAAAUAGGUCUAAUAGAUUGAAAAAUAUGAAAAUAUUUUUAAAAUUUUAAAUUAUUUUGAAAUGUAUAUAUUAUUACAUUUAUUUCAAUGUCAUAUUUUCAUUUAUUAUAAAAUUUUGGGGUUAUUUUUUUGGGAAUUUAUAGAGUCAAAGAGCAUUAUAAUUUAAUCCAUGCACAAUAUCUAUAAUUAUAUCGGUUGUCGGCUGAUUUCGUGGAGGGGGCGGCAGUUCAAAAUUUUUACGUGCAUGUUGGAUGGACGUCUCUAUUAAAGGAGAGCCACCACUUGCAUGGUAAUUUUUUUAAAUAAAUAUAUACAUUUCAAAACAUUAUUUUCUUGUUGUAUAGUUAACAUGUCACCUUAGAUGUAUUUUAGAGCUUCUCCUAUUAAAGAUAAUCUCAUGCAGUGUUACAGAGUAUGGUAAUAUGGUAUAGAUGAGAGCAUCUGAUUAAAUGAAGCAGCUGGUAAUGCUUACGUGUGUGAGUUAGUUAUCCAGCUCAGCAGCAAAGCAAACGAAAUGAAUUGCAUGCAUAUUAGAUCCAACAAACUGGUAAACUCUAGAUUCUUCUUUCAUUUAGUAUAAAUACCAAGUUGUUAUCAUUUGCUAAAUAUAUAAUAAGAUGAUCAUUUUCAGAUCUUUCCUUUAUAAUUUUCUAUAACUUUCUCGUUAGUUUCUCUUGAACCAAACACUUUGUACGAACUCUUUCGUGCAGUGAUACUUCUCGUGAUCUAAUCAUUAGUAGAAUCUAUAAUUUCGCUACUGUAAUAAAAUCUGUCACUACCCUAUAUGAAUGUAGAUAUUUGACGCGAUUUGUAAUUGCUUCCGACAGGAAAACAGCAAUAGUUUUAUUGAAAUUUGUGGUAUAGAUUCCACGAAUCUUAUGACAGAAUACUGACCACUCCAACCCUAUCCGCAUUUACACGAUUAAUACACAAGCUUAGAUGUGACAAUGCAUUUGUCACUCAUUCAAAUUCAUCCUGAAACACUAUACACUAAAUAAUCGAAUAUGGCUUCGUGGGUCGAUGAUGCUAGCAGCAACGAGACUGCAAUUAUCACUUGUUUUGUUGCUGUACUUGUCGUGGUCUAUUUCGCAUGGAAUGUAAACAAAUCAAGUAAAGCAAAUGCUAAAUUGCCACCAGGACCUCGGGGCUUGCCAGUAGUCCGAUACCUCCCAUUUCUUGGAACUACUGACUUACACAAGACAUUCACGGAGUUAUCUGGAGUUUAUGGUCCGAUCUUCAAGAUUUGGCUUGGGAAUAAAUUGUGUGUAGUGGUGACCUCGCCUACCCUAGUUAAACAAGUGGUCCGUGAUCAAGAUAUAACAUUCUCAAACCGCGACCCACCGAUCGCUGGAACUGUGACCACCUACGGUGGCAAUGAUAUUGCACUUUCCAAUUACGGUCCCGAAUGGAAAAAGUUGCGAAAAUUAUUUGUGAGCAAGAUGAUGAGUAAUGAGACCCUUGAUGCUUGUUAUGCUCUAAGAAAACAAGAGGUUAAAAAUACUAUCAGGGAUUUGUAUAACAACAAUAAGGAUAAUAUUGGCAAUGGCAAUGGCAAGCCCAUUGACGUUGGUGAAUUGUCGAUUUCAACUUUGGUACGUGUUAUGCAGAACAUGCUGUGGGGUCAAGCAUUGGAAACAAGAGAGAAAGAGAUUACUAAUCUCGGGGCUAAUCUUGCAGAACUCAUGGUGCUACUGGGAACACCAAAUAUUUCGGAUAUUUUUCCAGUGCUUUCAUGGCUUGACAUGCAAGGUAUAGAGAGAAGAGCUAAGAAGAUUUCUCUAUGGUUUGAAAAUAUUAUCAAUUCUGGUGUUGAACAGUAUAGAAACAAGUUCUCUGUUGUUAAAGGUGAAGAAGCUGCAGCACGAAAAAAUAUUGAACGAUCAAGAAAUAAGGACUUCUUGCAGUUGCUGUUGGAGCUUCAGGAAAAUGAAGAUAGUGCUUCAUCUAUUAGCAUGAACCAACUAAAGGCCGUGCUCGUGGUAUGUUAAGCAACUAGACACAAAAAGUUGUAAAAGCACAGCGAUAUAUUUGCGCGAGGCCCCGAGUGAUGUUUUGCCUCGAGAACUCUCAAUUUUAUCUUACGGUAAAAAAUGUUUUUCAACUUUUUUUUUUAAUUAGAAUUUUAUUGCAAUUUAUUUAACAGGACAUAAUUGUGGCCGGAACCGACACCACAACUACGAUGGUGGAAUGGACAAUGGCAGAGUUGAUGCAACAUCCACAAGUAAUGAAGAAAGUUCAAGAAGAAUUCGCUCAAGCUGUGGGCAUGGACAGUUGUGUUGAAGAAUAUCACUUGCCUAAAUUAAAGUAUUUAGAUGCUGUGGUGAAAGAAACAUUUCGUUUGCAUCCUGCGUUGCCCUUAUUGGUACCUCGCACGGCAAGCAAGAAUAGCAACAUUGGUGGCUAUACCAUUCCCAACGACACUAAUCUUAUGUUGAAUGUUUGGGCUAUCCACAGGGACCCUCAACUUUGGGAUAAUCCCUUAGAAUUUCGACCUGAGAGGUUCUUGAAUGAUGGUAUCAUAAGCAAUUUCAAUUACUCGGGUAACAAUUUUCAGUACUUGCCAUUUGGUUCUGGUAGAAGGAUGUGCGCUGGGAUUGCUCUAGCUGAGAGGAUGUUGAUGCUUGUUCUGGCUUCGUUGUUGCACUUGUUUGAGUGGAAAUUGCCCUCGGGCACAAAGCUAGACUUAUCUGAAAAGUAUGGGAUUGUCAUGCGGAAAAAAGAGCCUCUAAUUGCUAUUCCAACACCAAGGCUACCAAAUUCAGAUCUCUACCAGUAAGAUCAAAAUGGUUUUGAUAAUAUUAUUUCCCAUUGUAUUGGAUUUGAAGUUCAAUCAUAAUAAAAUAUUUUAAUAAAAUGUCCUCGGUUGCUAAUUUUUCAAUAGUAUAAUCUGCACCUGUCUUUUAUAGCAAUUUGGUCUAAUUUAUUUUUGAAUUAAAAUCCAUAAAUAUUUAUAUUUUUUUAAUUAUAUUAGGAAUUAUGUGGGGUGUAUGGUCUGAUCUUCGAGCUAUGCCUUGAAAACAAAUUAUGCAUAGUCGUGCACACGCUUUCCCUAAUUAAGUUUGUGGUUCGUGCUCAAGGCACAGCAUUCACCCCCCGCGACCCAACAAUCGCUACAUUGUUCCCCACCUAAAGUGCCAACAUAUUGCAUAAGUAACGCAAAAUAUGGUCCCCAAUGGAAAACGUUGCGCAAAUUAUUUCUGGGCAAGAUGAUAAGUAACGCAAGCCUUGAUGCUUGUUAUGGUCUAAGAAAACAAGAGGUUAAAAAUACUAUCAGAGACAUAUAUAAAACAACAACAGAAAAAAUUGGCAUUAUCAUCGAUAAUGGUGAGUUGUGGAUUUCAACUUUGGUAUGUUUAAUUCAGAACCCGCAGUGGGGUGGCGCUAGCACGCCUGCGUUAGGAGACGAGGGGACCAAUCUUGGGGCCGAGCUAAAAUAUAGGCUUGUAGAGCUCAUGCUGCUAAUGGUAAUGGGAACACCUACUAUUUCGGAUACUUUUCCGAUGCUGGUUUAAUUCAUGGUUUAGAAAGGAGAACAAAGAAGAUUUUUCGAUGCUUUGAAAAUAUUAUAAUUUUUAUAAAAUCUCUUAUUGAUAACUAAACAACUAAAAUUUCUGUAAAGUUUUUGUGGACUUUUGAUCUCCUAUGGUGCCAAUAUUUUCGACUAAUUUUUUCCUUCAAUUAAUGAUGUUGGUUGAGAAAGACUAUUUUUCUUGCAAUAAUAUAGUAUUCGUGGUCCUAUUAGGGUUCCGAAUGGAGAAAGUUGCACUAAGUUUUUUGAGUACCAAAUGAUGAGUAAUGUACGUAAGCCUUGAUGGUAGUUAUGGUCUAAGAAAACAAGAGGUUAAAAAUACUAUCUGGGAUUUGUACAACAAUAACAAAAUUGGCAAGCCCAUUGACAUUGGUGAAUUGUCAGUUUCAACCUUGGUAAGUGUUUUCAGAACAUGCUGUGGGGUGAAGCGCUUGGAAUAAGAAAGAAACGGAUGACGAAUAUUGGGGCUGAGCUUAGAUUUAAACUUGCAGAACUCAUGGUGCUGUCAGGAACACCGAAUAUUUCGGAUAUCUUUCCAGUGCUUUCAUGGUUUGAUAUACAAGGUUUUGAGAGAAUAGCAAAGAAGAUUUCUCUAUGGUUUUAAAAUAUUAUCAAUUCUACUGUUGAACGCUAUAGAAACAAGGUCUCAGUUGUUAAAAGUGAAGAAGAAGACGCAGCAGCAGCAGCAGCAGGGAACAACAUUGAAGGAAGGAAUAAGGACCUGGUGCAGUUACUCUUGGAGCUUCAAGGUAAAGAAGAAAAUGCUUCAUCAAUUAACAUGACGCAAUUUAAGAGCUUGCUCGUGGUAUGUUUGCGCAACUAGCCACAGACAGUUACAGAAACUGAGUUUGGCAGAUUACGACCGUUUCUGGUGAUUAUAUAACUAUUUGUGGCUGUUUUUUGUUUUUUUUUUCUUUUAAUUGGAAUUUUAUUGUAAAUUUCUUAACAGGAUAUAAUUUAGGGUGGAACCAACACCACAACUAUAAUGGUGGAAUGGACAAUGGCAUAAUUGAUACAGCAUCCACAAGUAAUGGAGAAUGUAAAGGUAGAACUAAGUCGGGCCGUGGCCAUUGACAGCCAUGUUGAAGAAUUUCACCUACCUAAGUUAAAAUAUUUAGAUGUUGUGGUGAAAGAAACAUUCCGCACGAUAAUAUAAUAUAUGAAUCAUAUAUCCUCUAUUGGUUUUUUGCUCCUUUUUUUUUCAAUAGCUUAAUCUAUCAUUAAAAUCUUCUGAAAUUCUAAAUUAAUAUACAUUCAACCUAGAGUUCAACCCAAAGUUUUAUUGAGCAUUAAAAAAAAAAAUUCUACGACUAAAAAUUUUACAGAGUAUAAAUUAAAAAUUAUGCGCCUACUAACAGACAAAAAACAAUUGAUACACAUUCACCAAUCAAAGGCAAACAAGAGAUUAUUAACAAUAACUUAAUAAUAAAAUUAUAAGGAAUCAAAUAGAAAUGGUACCUAGAAACACAUCACGCCAUUUAAUCAAUCACUUACCCAUAAAAUCCAAACUUAUAAACUAUUAAGGGGGGGAAAUGGAUACCUUUGGGUUUCAUUAAAUCAAAAUUACAACACCAUUAAAUACUCAAAAAUGAAAAAAAAAAAAUCAUACCCAAUAAAAGAGAAAAAAAUAACCCACAAAAAAAAUCAUCAAGAAAAUAAAUUUGAGACUAAGAGAAGAUAUUAAUUAACGCCUGGGUUGCAUUGGAACCACGGCUUUGGCUUCCAUUUUUCAAUUCUUGGUCACAAGUGAUUUCUUGUUUGUUUGCAAUGAUGACGGUUGAUUAAUGAAGCUCUAUUAACAAUGAAUGAAUCAAAAAACUUGAGCCUUGAAAAGACUAACGGUCAUAUUUUUCAACUCCGAAUUAGUGGCGUUUGAUGAGUCCUUGCCAAAACAAUCACUCGGCAGAUAACGAUCAUUUUUCAACCAGCAAAACUCAUUCAUUGUUUUUCACCUUAGUGAAGAUUUAAAAAUUGUUUCAAAAUAGGAUUCUUAAAAAAAUAAUAAUAAAAUGAUAUUUAACUUAAUUCUAACUUAGGAAAACAAAAUAUCUACACUCCCAAAGUU